CUUUCUUUUCCUGAAUCCAUCACGAAGUACAUAUGUAGCUAGUAGAAUUAUAAUUAUUUUCAAAAUCUCAUGUGACAACAGUUGAUUGGAAAAGCCAAUGAGUGUGAGACCCAAAUACAGGGUUUACAUUUGAUGAUGCGGUUCAAACCAUAAGAGACACACCUUCGGGUCGUCCAAAACUUCUUAACGACUUGCCUCAAAGGACACAAUCAAGAGAAGGGAACAAAAUCUCACCGAGGAAUGAAGAAGGAGAAGGAGAAGGGGAAGGAGAAGAAGAAGAUUGCCUCAACUGAGUUGACAACAAACUUGCUGCUACCGCUGCUACCGGGACCUUCUCAUGUGGACUCCGGUGCCACCUCCUCUGUGGUAUACUGGUAUGAUGACUAAUUCAUGAAAUAUUUGAUAUAAUGCCAAAGUGCUAAUUUCCAAGUCCCCUUCAUUUAUUGAGUAUUAUAAGCUUGCACAAGUUCAAUUUCCUUGCUCUCGUAUCAGCGGCAGCAUCACAAAGUCCGGUCUUCUAAUUCCCAAGGAAAUGUUCAUUUUUUAUUCUUCGCAGGGGUUUAUACCGAUAAAUUGUUGAUACUCCCUGCAAUAACCGCCGACGAUCGUGGUUUACAUGGUCACAUCUAGCUCUCAGCGUGUCUUCCAAAUUCUUCAGCAAUCGAACGGCUUUUCCAGUAUUGCGGGUUCUGCACAAUCCCUCAUCAUGGCUUGGCACGUGGUUAUAUCUACCUCGAUUGUCUGGCCAACAUUUCAUCCGCCAAGCUCAUGGCUUUGGCGAUUCUACCCUCUCCAACGAGCCCAUUGAUCAAAGUGUUAAAAGCUCGCAGUUGUGGGUUCAAGUCCAAGUUUGACCAUUUUACACAACUGAGGACCCGAGAUCGGAUCUUUUCAAUUGGCAGAGGUAAUUCAUCAUAAUGUUGCGAGUAGAACUGUUGGGAGUCGUUCCUUUCGAACCCAUCCGCUCGAUCAUGUCAAUGGUCACGGGGUAAUGCUUCAUCUUGGCCCCGAUCCCCAAGAGUUGGGCGAAACAGGGAGGUAAAGUCAAGAGGGUUCACUCAAAUCGUCCUCUCCAAGAAGAAUAAAGCAUUGUCAGCUUCCACCAAUCCGCCAUUUCUGCAUUUGUUCACCACAAAGGUCACAAGUUCAGAUUGAUCCAUUUGAAUCACUCACUCCAGCAGUGGAUGGGCAACCGUGGGAGCGACGUGAAAGAAAAUGGUUCGAUGCAAAGAUGGGAUGAGAAGUGAGAGGUUUAACGAGAUCGCCAGAUUCUCGAACAAGACGGUGAAGAGCAGAAGUGCAGAUGGAUGGAUUUAUUCUCAUCAGUUUUGCCAAAUUUUCUCCUUCCAAGUUCCGACAAUCCACAAAUUGACGCGAUGGUGUAUGGAGAGGAUGAUUGUUAGGCAAUUUAAUCACUGCAACUUUAGAUGUCUGAUAACAACAUAGUUUUCGGUUCAAUCAUUGAAAACUAAUUGUUUGCCAAACUGAACAUUUCAAGAAAUACUCUAAUUGAUUCAUUCCCAUACUCGGCAGUUGAGGAGAGAUCAGUAUGCAAAAUCAUGCUCUUAUACUGUUGUGAAAACAACUAUGAAAUCCACGUUUGAAACCAAAUCUGAAAGGAUAGAUAUCUCACACAAUGAUGGCGAACACUAGUGGGGUUGAAGGAUCGCUUGUCGAAAUGAACGUUUCUAGUCUUACUAUUGUCUGCCUGAAAAAAUGAGAACUUAAUACAAAUGUUUCUACUAUUGUCAUUGUGUGCACAGAACAUACUACAUUAUACCAAUUUAAAAUUUUGAUUUUGUUCUGUUUGACACUUUCUUACGUAUCGAAUGAGGCAAUCAUCCCAGCUCAUAUGUCGCAAAAUGACGUCACAGGGAAAUUUUGAUGGUUUAUAUUUGAAGCAUGUAACUUUGCAAAAGAACAUAAUAUUUCGGUCCUCUUUUCCCCGAUGGCAUAGGAUUGCUUAUUUAGUGAAUAAACUCUAAACAUUUAAGGAUCGUGUUAAUUCACCUAGUUGAAGUCAGUAGAGGUGAGUGAGAGAUGGCUCGUACACUAAUUGAUUGCUAAAUUUAAAAAAAAAAACAGCUAAUGAAUUAAGAAAAAUUGUAAGCUGUAAGUCUGGACUGCGAAAUCCAUUAUCUGUCUUUGAUAAUGUGGUACUGCGAAGACCGAUUCAUUAUGGGUCCUUGGCAAUUUUCAGGCCAUCUAAUAAAUUUCAAACCAUGGAUAGCUAAUACCCCUCUUCACUGUUAUGACUUUGCUACCUGUGCAUUUUGGGUUCAGGUCAUAGGAUUACCUCUGGAAUGUUGUACUGAUGAUAUGAUACGCAAAGCUGUUAGUUCAGUAGGCUCUGUUCUGCAUGUAAAAUCUGAGUUUGCCUCUGGUUCAGCCCUGAAGGCUUGCCGUGCUCGUGUUGAACUGGAUUUAUCUGAACCAUUAAAGGUGGGUCGACUCAUUAAACUUAAAAAUCGAACUUUGUGGUUGGACUUUCGCUAUGAAAGAUUACCUCAUUACUGCUAUUCGUGUGGACGUCUGGGCCAUUAUACUGCUUCCUGUCCUUCUAUUCCUUUUGAGGAGAAAAUGAUCCAUGAAUCUGACUCUACUCCUUACGGCCCCUGGCUAAAGCUGAAAUUCAAAAGUACAGUCCUUAUUGGAACUGUUAUUACGGCCAACUAAUUUGGAGGAGAUAGCGAGGAAUCUAUACCUGAAACUCCUCCCUCCAAGAGUCUUCUUUGUCCUUUUCCUCUUCUUUUACCCCCCAAUUACCAUACAACCACUCAACCAGACCCUGUUAUUCCAUCCCAAAUCAGAACACAACUGAUUCCUCAAGGAAACCUCCCUCCGAGCCAAAGAACCCUUAACCACUCCUUUAAUCCCCUGCCACAGAGAAGAUGAAGGGAGUGAAAUGGCCAGUAUUAUCUCCUCAGAAAAAAAAAGGGCAAAGUACUCGACCAGUAAGUAAGAUCAGUCCUUCAAAGAAACUCAGGCGCUAUAAUCCCUAUGAUCUACCAGAAGGAUAUUUGGGGGGCUAUGAUGAUUCGCUUUUGUUGGACACGCCAAUUUUGGAGGCAUCUGAAGAAGUACUCUGGGCGACGGUGGCUGGCCCUAAACAGUCACCAGAUCAAAGAUGAAACUUAUAGGAUGGAACUGUCAGGGUUUGGGCAAUCCCCUGACAGCCCUAUCUUUAAAAGCCCUUUUGGCUAAGGAAAAGCCUGACCUCUUAUUUUUGAUGGAGACGAAAAAUGCUGAUGACGUUCUCCUUCGGUUGAAAAGGUCUUCGGGUUUUUUGCAUCACAAGCUAGUCACCCCUGUUGGAUUAGCUGGUGGUUUAGCUCUUUUUUGGAAUGCAGGGCUCUCUCUGUCAGAUUUCAUAUCCUCUCCGCAUAUUCUGGAUUUUACCUGUUUUGACAUCUCUGAAGCCAGAUCAAUGCGGAUUUCUUGUAUUCAUGCCCCUGCAGUCUAUCAAGAACGUCAGUAUCUUUGGCAGACCUUGCGCCACUUUAGCAAUUUCAAUGUCUUACCUUGGGUGUGCUUCGGUGAUUUUAACGAAAUUUUACACCGAUGGGAGAAAGUAGGCUCCAGACCAGCGGAUUCUUACCGUCUUUCUUCUUUUCGAGAAGUCCUCAAUGACUGUAGACUGAUGGAUUUGCCCUCUCAUGGUUGUGCCUUUACGUGGUCAAACAACAGAGAUGCCGAAGCCUUGGUCAAGGAACGCUUGGAUCGAGCGAGCUGUAUGUACUUCUGAAUGGCGUGUCUCUUACCCCAACGCCGAUGUGACAGCUCUACCUGCAGUAGGUUCAGAUCACAGCCCUCUGGUUAUUCACACAAAUCCUAGCAUAACUCGGAGACAGAGAAUCUUUACCUUUGAGGCAUUCUGGAAUCAGGAUCCUGGCUGUAAAUCAGUGAUUGAGUCCUCCUGGAAUUCUAUCUCACGAAGGGAAUCUCCUCUCCCAAUCAAACUUCGUGCAGUUGUCAGUGCUUUAUCUCGGUGGAGUCGCCAGGUUUUCUCCCACAACAAGAAGAAGGCAACAGAAUUAGAACAACAGUUACUAUAUUUAUCAAAUCAGCAACCUACUUCUCAGAAUCAAUUGCAGCAACAGAGGAUUAAAGAAGAACUUCAACAAGCGUGGCAGAGGGAAGAGCAAUAUUGGGCAAUGCGAUCGAGAAUAAACUGGUUACAAUGGGGCGACCGCAAUACUAAGUUUUUCCAUGCUUCUACUCUUCAACGAAGGCAACGAAAUCAGAUUGUUAUAUUGAAAGAUGAGAAUCAGCAAUGGGUGAGGGAUCGUGACCAGAUCAAACAUAUGACUACCCUUUAUUACUCACAGUUAUACACCACUUCCGGGUCCAGACCUUAUGCACAGAUAUUAGAUCAAUGUCCAAGAAUGGUGGAUGCAGAAAUGAAUGCUGGUCUACUUGCUCCUCCUACUCCUGAAGAGGUCCGCGUUGCUACCUUUCAACUAGGCGCUUCAAAGGCACCAGGACCCGAUGGUUUAAACGGAUUAUUCUACCGAACGCAUUGGGAAAUCAUUAAAACAGACAUUCACAAGGCAGUACAGCAAUUUUUUCAAAGUGGCACGCUACCCCCAUCCCUAAACAACACAGCUAUAACCUUGAUUCCCAAAACUCCUCACCCGGAAAGCCUAGAUCAGUACCGCCCUAUUAGCCUCUGCAACUUUAUCUACAAAAUUUUCGCUAAGCUGCUUGCUAAUAGAUUGAAACCUUUGUUGCCUCUACUGAUCACCGAAGAACAGAGCGCCUUUGUUGCUGGCCGACAGAUUCAGGACAAUGUUCUAAUAGUACAAGAACUCAUUCACCAGCUCAAAACAAGGCAACGUAAGCGUCAUUUUAAAGCCAUUCUAAAAGUAGACAUGCAGAAAGCUUAUGACCGUGUUGAGUGGGACUUUCUCCGAGAUUAUCUACUUCGAUUGGGAUUUCAUUCACAGUGGGUCCAUCUCAUAAUGCAGUGUAUCUCAACGCCUUCUUUCUCUAUUAAAAUGAAUGGGGAGUUCUCACCAAGAUUUCAACCUUCACGUGGACUGAGGCAGGGAGAUCCCUUAUCCCCUUACUUGUUCAUUAUUAUUGCAAACCUCUUAUCCAUCCUAAUUAGAAAUGCCGUGAAUAUGGGCUCUCUCAAGGGAAUAAAAUUGAACCAAUCGUGUCCUACUCUUUCACAUGGGCAUUCGCCGAUGACGCGGUGUUUUUUAUGGAUGGUACCCUCUUGGAGUGUCAGCACCUCUAUAACAUUCUAAUCAAUAUUGCCUAGCAUCAGGACAAAUGAUCAACCGAAAUAAAUCUGGAAUUUUUUUCAGUUCCUCUUGCCCUAUUGCUCUUCAGGAAAAUUUAGCUGCUGAAUUGCGAGUUCCAGUCUUACAGCGUUGUGGGAAGUACCUAGGGAUACCUACUGAUUGGGGAAGAUCUAAACGAGAUAUGUUUUCUUGGCUGCUGAGUAGAGUCCAAGCCAAACUAGAAGGAUGGAAGGAGAAGCUUAUAUCUAAGGGGGGGAAAGAAGUUCUCCUAAAGGCGGUUAUUCAAUCUAUCCCUCAGUAUGCAAUGUCUGUGUUCAAGAUUCCGGUAUCUUUAUGUAGAGUUAUUGAGAAAAGAAUGGCUAAAUUCUGGUGGAGUAAUGAUACAAGCAGGUCUGGUGUGCACUGGCAAAGCUGGAAUCGUCUACAAACUCGAAAAGAACUUGGUGGAUUAGGAUUCAGGGAUUUAGUGAGUUUUAAUCUCGCCAUGCUCGGUAAGCAAGCAUGGCGUCUACUGAAUCAACCAUCAUCUUUGUGGAGUAAGCUUUUCAGGGGAUUAUAUUUCCAUUCUUCCACUUUUUUAAAAGCAAACAAGGGUUCUCGCCCCUCAUGGGGCUGGCAAAGUUUAUUAUGUGGCAGGGAUGCAAUAUUACCUCAUAUUAGCUGGUCUGUGGGAGAUGGAUCAUGCAUCAAAAUCAGAGAAGACAGAUGGCUUCCUAUGGGAAUUUUAGUAGGACCUAAAGCCCCUGAAGAACCUAUCUACGUAGCUGAUCUUAUGGAUCAAUCUGCCAGUUCAUGGAGAAUUGAUUUGUUAUCGAAAUUUUUUGAUAUGCCUAUUAUUAAUCAGAUCAGAGACAUUCAACUCAGACCUCACUUUACCACAGAUACACUCAUUUGGUCAGCAACAAAGCAAGGCAUAUUUACGGUCAAAUCAGCAUACCAUGCACUUAUUCACACUCAAUCGACCAGCACAACCUCAUCUGCAUCAACAUCAUAUCAAACCCCUACCUGGUUAUGGCGCUCUAUCUGGAAAAUGCCUGCAGCUCCCAAAAUCCGAGUAUUUCUUUGGUCUAUCUGCAAUGAUGCCUUGGCAACGCGAGUGAACCUGCAUCGACGACAUAUCUUAGACAGUCCCUGCUGCACGCUGUGUAAAAGGAAAACACCAGAAACUAUAGAGCACUUACUAUUACUCUGCUCAUGGACUCGACAGGUUUGGAAUCAUCCUCAGAUUCGGCUUUCUGUCCUUCCCAGUAAUAUCACCCGUAUGGAUUCAUGGAUCACUUCACUGGUCGGGACAGAGAAUCGUUUACCUCGGCUAGCCUUUAUUUCUCACAUUUUGUGGCAGAUCUGGCGUGCUCGAAACGCCUUCGUCUUCCGAGGUACGUAUCCCAAAUCCCUUCAAGUAGUAGAAGCAGCUCUAACUGGUGCUCAAGCGGACCGAUCAUCCUCAACCUCAAACCUGCACCGGAACAGUUCUGUCAUUAAUCGAUCCCAUCAAUGGCGUCCUCCAGAUCUUGGGGUGUUGAAAGUCAAUAUCGACGGAUCAUUUCACCAAGGCAGCAACAAAGGAUCGAUUGCUUGUAUUUGCAGGGAUCAUCAAGGACGACUUACCGAUGGGUUCUCCGAAGGGGUAGCCGCGGUCUCAGCUCUUCAGGUCGAGAUUCAAGCCCUAUCUUUAUCGCUUCGACAUCUUCUGCACCAAGGACUCCAAUCAGCAACUAUCGCCGUUGAAUCAGACAGCCUAACGCUGGUCGAAACUCUCAACAGCCACUCUCAGCCACCAUGGAUGGAACGUUCCCUGUUCGCCGAAGCAGCCUUUCUCCUAACCCUAUUCCCCAAUCUCGAGCUAGGGUUUUGCCGAAGAGAGGCGAAUGCUGUUGCCGACUGGGCUUGUAAGGCCCAUCAUCCCACCUCUUUGAAGUGUAAUUGGGCCCUUAACUCCCCCCCGCUCUCUUGAACUUAUUAUGUGCGGAUGCUCUAGCCGCGGGAUGUAAGGCCUUUUCAUCUUAAUACUAUGUUCGUUCCGUUCAAAAAAAAGAAAAAAAGUUCGUCAUGAAUCACAAAACCAAUCGCAUGAGUAGUGUUGGGAAAAAGAAUCAUUGAUGAUGACAUCCUAAUGAACGAAAAUGAAAAGAUUCUUUUUCCCAACUUCAAUUGUCCCCCAUUUUCACAAGGAGUAUGGUUUACAAUUCGGUUCUCAUCUUGAGGAUACCAAUUGUGCAUAUAGCGCAAAACAGACGUAAAGGUUUGAUCAAUAACUUCUUCUUUUAUGCUUAUCUUUAUCAUUGUGUCAUUCAAUUGGAGUAAAACACGCGCCUAAUUAGCAAUUCCACUCUAUGAGAACACAGAAAGACAAUAAUUUACAAAAUGGGAAUAAGUAUUGUAAAAGAUUCUUUUAUUCAUUUGCUCUAUAACAUAAAGGAGCAAUUCAUGAAAAAAAUAUGAGUACUCAGAUGUAAUUAAUUACAAUAAAAGGCAAGCCUUUGAGGUGAAGAGACCAAAACCGAUUGUCCAACGAAAUGUAAAUAUAUGCUUAGGUGGAGCAUUUUUGGUGGAGAAUACAGUAAAUCCAAGUUUUGCAAUAUGAAUAAGACUUCUCUAGUUAUCAUUAGUCUUAUGCGUCAUGGGAAGUGAUGCUUUAGCAAUACUUUGUUAUUACAUAUUUGUAUAAAUGAGACCAUAUAGAAUUUGUAAUACCUGGUAGCUUAAUGAUUACGCAUGAACGUUUUCCCAGUAUAUCAAUUUUUUUUUCUUCUAGAUUUUUCCGGAUCGGGGAGUGCAGGUAAAGACUAGUUGUGCCAUGUAAGAGUCUUAUUUAGAUCAUAAAACAAACCUCAAUUGAUGCAAAAACAACCCUUCCUAUCAUUAAGUGAAGUGGAAAGUAUAUGACGAUAGGUGCAUAAUAGACCAAGCUAUCUAAUUGCCAAUAGAUCUCAUAAUAAAUUAGCAGAUAUUCUGAAGGAAAAUGCAUCUAGACUAUAGACUAGUAGUAUAGGAACUCAGAGAAAAUCUCACGGAUUGAUGCGGUAGAAUAAUAGUUGAUCUUUUUUUUUAUAGACUUACUCACAUCUGGAAGAUGUAUACCAACAACUUUUUCGCUCACCUUAUUAAUUUUUUUUUUUAGAGAGUGCAUGCAUCUUCCAAUUUUUUUGGGUACAUCCUUGUACUAAAGAGUCUGCAUGGGUAGAUGGAAGAAGUGCUAUGCAGUAGGGUGAAGUUAUGAAUCCAACCGUCCAUCCUCGAGGAUGCAAUAGAAUGGGCCUUGAAUGAAGGUACUAAUCAAUACCUUUUUGUUCCUAUCCACGUCAGACACAAUAACAAUUCAUACAUGUUUUUUAUUGGUCACUUUCUUAAAAAGUCAAUAACACGUGUAUAGUUUCUACUACAUUGAGCAUUUCCAGAUACAUAGAGAUUAGUGAAAAUAGUGUAUGGAGAUUAUUGGGUCUUGUUUGGUUUAAUUAAUAAGAAAUUAAUGAGUGAACUCUCGUUCCUUGAAGUUACAUUUCAUUAUUUUUCUUUCUUUAACUAUUGAUUUAACUUUAAUGCGGAAUUUCAUUUUUAUUGUUUGAAGAUUAAUCAUUGCCGUGAACUAACUUAAGCUGCUACCACAAACGCACCACCACCACCCACCCACUUAUUUGCCGCCUCCUCACCACCUCAAAUGCACACCUCUCGGGGUGAUUAGUUCCCAAUUCGAUCUAGUUUCUAAAUGGAACCGAGAACUGGACCAGGUACUCUAGUUCCGAAAUGGAACCGAGAACCGGACUAGGAGAACCGGUUCUCAAAAUUGGGAAUCAUGGACUGGACCGUUAAGUCGUAGGACCGGGAACCAAACCGGACUGCCAAUUUCAGCCAAGUCCGAUCUAGUCCAACGAAACUAAGCACUUUUUUUGUUUUCUUUUUUCACUAAAGAGUGGUCGUGCUUCAUCAAUCAAUCCAAUUUGGUUCUCGAGCGGUCCAAUAAAAUUAAUUGCACAUGUUCCCACAUGCAAAAAAUUUACUCAUGCGAACAUCAAUCACAUUUAAUGUAUUUUACACUCAAAUCUUAAUCAUAAAGGCUGUGAAUGAUAUGGCUAAAGAUCGUGCUUGGCUUAGAUUUUAUAAACAAUCUCUCUUAUACUCUGAGUAUUUGGUUGAUGUGGGACUCUUGGAGGCUACGGAUGCCUUGUGUUUUGCAAGUGAGGAGAGCAAGUGAGAGAGAGAGAGGGAGAGAGAGAGAGUGAGUGAGCGUGAGGAAUGAGGGUUUCUUGAAGCCUUAGUCUCAUAUCGGGUGGAAAAAGAAACUAACAAGUAGGCUUUCUCUUUAAAUAAAGAGGAACAAGAAGAGUUUUGAUGACUACUUGGCCGUAAUAUUUGCAAUUCCGGCUGUAGUAAGUUUUAUAUAUAAUAUAUGUAUAUAAACUUUAUAUAUAUUAAAUUCGGUCCGAUCGGUCCAAUUCUCACCUUGGAAUUGGGAACGUGAUCGACUAGCCACCAGUUCCAAGAAUAGGAACCGACAACUGGACUGCCGAUUGUGGAAAUCGCGCGGCUUAUGGUUCGAGCAGUUCUUGUUGCACACCCCUACACAUCACCACUACAAGGAUGCCAUUAGCUCAACAACUGCACCAACUGCCCACUGCCACUGGCCACCACCAAAUCACCCAUUGCGCCCAUGCUCCACCGCCACGAGCCAUGCUGCAGCCACCAUCAAAGCACCACGGCCACCACCAACAAUAUUCCAAUACCACCAAAAUGCGCAAGCAAGAACCUCCUCAUCACUUCCCCCGUCACUCCUGAUUCCACCCCCUUCCACUCGCCCACCGAGUCAGCCCCUCCUCCCACCUCCCCGACCUCCUCCACCCCGCCGUGAUUCUCCAAUCACGACCACUGCUGUCGGCUGCUCCCAGCCGGCACCACUUGGAGAGUGUUAAUGGACUCUCAAGUCUAUGCUCUCAGCUUUCAGGUAAUUUUAGAUUCCUCAUAACAAAUACAUCUGAAAAAAAGACAGAACUAACUAAGGAUCAAUGCAGCCGCGCGCAUAUCUCUUUUUGAGAUGAUUGGAGAGCGUAACACAGUUUAGUCUUGACCAUCUCGUGUAACACAUCCAUCGCCCUUAUGUUCUGACCAUUUUUAACAAGUCUCACAAGGUUGAAUUAGUUAGUGUUCAUAACUUUUGAUGAAAUACCUGAAUUUAUCAUGCAAUCUUUUCCUGAAUCUAUGACAAAGUACAUAUGUAGCUAGCACAAUAAUUAAUUAUUUUCAAAAUCUCACGUGACAACAGCUAAUUGGAAGCCAAUGAGUAUGAGACCGAAUUACAAGGUUCGUAUGUGAUGAUGCGGUUCAAAACUAUAAGAGCGCGCACACACCUCCAGGUCGUCCAGAACUUCUGCAUGACUUGCCUCCAAGGAUACAACCAGGAGAAGGCAACAAAAUCUCACCAAGCAAUGAUAUAAGCUGAAAGAGGAAGAAGAAGAAGCAUUCUGUGCCAUCAUUUUGUCACCAGUUUUUACGACUUUCUGGUCGUGUUUAAAAGUCUUUGCUCAAUAAUUUUACGGUCCUUUCUCACUUUCUGGCUAAACAGCACUGUUUACUAUAGGUCUUUAAUUAUCUUUAUAGACUUACAUUGGUGAUGACCAUGGAAGAAGGAAAUAAAUUGGAAGAUAAAGAAGGUGGUAUUCGCACCAUUGUCCUUAUUUCCUUGUUAAUAAUGCAAUCUGCCAUUUGCCUGAAUUGAGUUGACAACAAAAUGCGCUGAAAAUCUCAGAAGAUGAAAGAACAUAACAAAACGGAAUGGUGAGGAUUGUUGCUAAUGCUGCUACCCGGGACUUCUCAUGUGAACUAAACUGUCCCUUCCUCUGUGGUAUGAUGACUUGUGCCUCUAAUAUUUGAUCAAUGCCAAAGUUUCUAUAAACAGCGAGCCGUCAAUAUUGCUCAUUUCCAAGUCCACUCUAUUUACUCAAUAGUAUAAGCUAGCACGAAGUUCUUUUUUCUUAUUCUCAUAUCAGCAGCAUCACAAGGUCUUCUCUUCCAAUUCCCAAGGAAAGGAAAUAUGUUGUAUUUUUUUUUUUUUUUUAACUUUACAGGGGUUCAUACCACUAAAUAGUCAAAUCCUUUUCUGCUUUGUCAAAAUGUCAUAGUCGGCAUUAAAACUGAAUUGCAUAUUAAACUUAUUAUUGAUAAGAAAACUUGACAGUAGAUUCACUUAUAACGUCUCAGCUAGAAAUGUCCAUCGGUUUUCUGACUCAGCUGAUUCAGAGGGACGACAGAGUCCUCAUUGCUCAAGUUCUACCUAGAUGUCUAUUGUGGCAUUGAAAUUGAAGCGUAGCUGGAGAUUAUUUCUUCUUAGUCAGAGCUGUCAUUGUGUGUCAGCAAUAUAUCGAACUCUCUAGAUUCCAUGCUGAUUGGAUGAUACAACUGUGUCUUCAACAUGGAGUAGUUUGGUGGCACUUUGCAGCAUGAUCUAAGGCUAUUCAACUCAGUGCUAAUCAGUGGAUGUCCACUAAUUUGCGUAAUUCUUGAACGUAUAUUUCCAUGGAAAGUUCUUCCGUGCUUUUCUCAUAAAUGCUGAGGAAAUUUAACGCCAUCCCUCGCAAAUACAUUGCCUCAGUCCCUUCUUUAUAUGAGCUAUUUAAUUGCCUGUUGUAGUUAUGGUUGAUUAGUUUUUGAAGCAGCUAUUCAUAUUAAAGCAGUUCAUGGAGGUUGUAAUUGCUGUUGUCAUACAGUUAGGACUGCAGUAGACUCUCACUACCCAUCUGAUCCCUGAUUUGUUGAAUCGUUAUUACCAUCUUCCAGCUGACAAUUGGGCAUCCUAGCGAAUCGUCAACUGAUCAUUUAUGCACAUGUUGGGAUGUUUGCAAUUUUAGUAAAAUAAUUUCAGACAGCACUAGUGCUUCGAGAAAUCUUUUUGACAUUGGAGAGUUUCUUGAUCCUCUUGUUGGAGAUGUUAAAUUCAUUUCUCUAUGACAUGCUUGGCAUUAAGGGUGUGCAAUGGAAAAUGCCUAAAUCGGGAACCGCCCGAAUUAGAUCAAACCAGCUGGUUUUGGGCAGUUCCCAAAGAGAGUGGUCUGGUUCCCGGUUCUCACUUUUGGAACCGGUGGCCGGUCGGUCUAGUUCCCGGUUCUAAGGUGGGAACUAGAUUGACCGGACUGGACCAGUUAAUUAUAUAUAUAUAAUUUUAAAUUUCUCAAGAAAAAAAUCCUAAUUCCUCAUAAUUUCUCCCAUUUUUCAUUUUAUUUUUGACCAAAAACAGCAAAUUUACCGGUUCCAUCGAACCGACCGGACCAGUCAGUCCAGUUUCCAAUCCCGGAAUUUGGAACCAAUCCUCCUGGUUUGGUUCCUAGUUCCACCUUGGAGCUAGACCGGAAUGGUUCCACCUCGGACCUAGACCGGAACGGGAACCAAUCAACCUUGCUUGGCAUCAACAUGUAGAAAUUCAUCUGCACUACAUUUAAUCUGGGACUGGUACAAAUUCUGUUUCUUGGAGUAUUAUAAGAAACGAGGGGAAGUAGAGUAGAAUGGGACCACAUCAAAUGUUGAUUGAAAGAAAAACCUCAAGCAAUUCCAGGUAAACGUCAUUUGUCUAGAAUGCAGUUCCAAAAUAUCAGCCAAAACCGGCAUUUCGUAUGUGUAAGUUGCCCCUAAAAAUGUCACCUCCAAGUCAUUGCCUAAUUAAUCCGAUGGUCUUUUACAGCCGGUAGCCUCUCUGUAAAAUUACUUUGCAUUCGGGGACAGCAAGCCUGCGACCCGCCUCUGGAGCCUCCUUCUGUCAUUGCAUUUGAUCAGAUGAGGCCUGCAGCCUCUUUCUGUUACAUUCGUUAGAAAUCUGAUGGCCUUUGCAGUUUUGCAUGGCCCUCCCCUCCAGCCAUGAUUCCACUAUAUAUCCUUUGGCAAACAUUUCAUCGACUGAACUUAUGACACGGCUUGUGCAAUUUAACCUUUUCCUUAAAGCCCAUUGAUCAAAGGGGCAAGCUCACAACAUCUGGUUCGAGUCCAGGCCUGAGGACUAUAUUCAAGACAGAGAACCCAAGAUGAAAUCCUUUCAAGUGGCAAGGGGCGAUUUGUCAGAAUCCUGAGAAUAUAAAUGUCUUAAGUUUAAGGGGGCGUGGGCCAUUGCAGCAACCUCUGCAAGUAAAAACAUACUAAAAUCUACAGCAACCUGAUCAUGAAAAGAGAGAGCCGUGCUCAAUCUAUUACUAGAAUAAAUAGCCAAAAAUUUUAAAUGGAAAAACAGACGUUAAAAAAGGUCUCGUUUUAGCUUGGCAGAGUCAUUUUUCAUACUCUCAUACCACCAUCAUAAGGAUAUCAUAAAAUCAAUUCCGACCUUUCUUUUCUGGUCUUCCGAUUCCAAGGGAAAUUAAGAGAAAUUAGGCAGGAGUGCCUUUUUAUUUUCUGUUAAAUUAGCACCUUAAGUUUCUCAUCGCAGGUACCUUUUUAUCUUCUGCAAGUAGAGAAAUGCUAAAUCUAUAGCAAGCUUCUGGUGAAACACAGUUAAAGAUACGAACCAUGAUCAAUCCUCUACAAAGAUUUAUAGCCCAAAGGUUCAGUGAGAAAACAGAUGUAAGAAAAAGCUCUUGUUGCAGCUUGGUAGAGUUUUGAAGAUGGUGAUGAAGAACCUACAAGAGUUCCAUUGUGAGGAGACUCACAGAUCAACACAGUCUGGACCAGUCAUGUUUGUGUUGGUGUUUUCUCAAGUCCAUGCAUACAACUUUCAGUUAAUUUUAGAGUCUUCGUACCCAGUAUAGUCAAAACAGGUAGAACUGAGGAUCAAUGCAACCGCUCCAAUCGACUCUCAUCGAGAUAAGAACUCUCUACUACAUACGGUCACUCUCAACCAUCUCGUGCAACCCAUGCUUCACCCUCAUUUUCUGACCAUUUUUAUGGAGUGUUCGGGUGGAGAGUGCCCCUUUUCUUUCAAUUCUUGAAGCAGCUCAUAGGAAUCACUCGUUCAGUUGGCUUUACAUAGCCCAGCAAUUAUAGCACCAAAUAACAAAUCAUCAUGUUGCUAACCUUUCUCAGGCAGGGCAUUGAAGAGUUCUAUAGCAACUCCAAGUUCCCCUGCCACCCAAGCCGCUAAUAAGGGUGUCAUAGCUGAUGAUAUGGACAUUUCCACCUUCCACUUGUCUAUACAAAGCAAUUGCCCCAUGAACCCCAUGCCCCAUGAACCCGGUGACUAACUUUAUUGAUUAUUGUUGAUUUAAAUGUUCGCUACUAGCUAUAAUUUUGUAAAACAUAUGGUGCGCAACCCGAGGCAGUUCACUGAGGAAAAAGCCAUCUCGAGACAGUUAUAGGUGGCAACAUCAGGGACUGAUCCAUUCUCUAACAUUCAUGAAUCAAUGUUAGGUUGGUUGUGAGUAAAAGAGAGCAGUUUUGUGCAAUCAUCAAAUGAAAUGUAGUGGGUGCAUCAUCUAUUUGAUUUUCACGACAGUUACCACCAAGCAAUGAAGUAUAUGUGAACUAGGUCGGGCGUCAAUCCUCCUCAGAUCAUCAGAAUAAAAAUGCACUUCAUCUUGUCCAGCAAAACCUUCGCUUCUUUCCGUUAACCAACCCAAGUUGAGCCAUGUAUCAAGGGCUGACAUUUGGGCAUCAGUCAUAGUAUUAUACAACUUCAAAGCCUCUGUCUUAGGUGCCUCCGAUGAUCGUGGUGUACUAGGAAGCAUGGACACUCUUUGGGGCCUCCGUGUCAGUGUCAAAUGCAUGUAAUUCUUGUUGUCAUAGUUCGACAGUUAGGAUCACAGGAGACUCAUGAAUUUCCCAUCUGGUUCAUGAUUUGUUGAAUAUCUCAAUUUUCCUGCUGAAGAUUGGACAUCCUAGCGAUUUGUUAGCCGACCGUUUCCGCAUAAGUGUGACUGCAAUUUUAGCAAUAUAAUUCCAGACAGCACUAAUGCUUGAAGAAAUCUUGUUGAUGUUGGAGAUCUUCUCAAUCCUCUUGUUGGAGAUGUUGAAUCAAUCUCUCUAUGACAUAAUAAUUGGUAUCUCCAUGUAUAAAUUCAUCUGCCCUUGUUCCAACUCUGGGAUUGGUAAAAAUUCUGUUUCUUGUAGUAUUAUAAGAAACAGAGGAAGUAGAGUAGAUUGGGAUAAUAUCAAAUGUUGAACGAAUGGAAACGUCCCGUGCAUUUCCAGAUAAAUGUCAUUUGACGCAAAUACAGUUUCAAAAUAGCAAUCAGUCGAAACCGGCAUUUCAUAAGUGCAAGUUGCCCCUUGAAAGUAUCAUCUAUUAGUCAUUGCCUAAUCAAUCCAAUGGCCUUUUUGCAGCCUGCAGCCUCUUUCUGUCAAAUUACUUUGCGUUUGGUGACAUCAAGCCUGGGAUCUGCACUCUGCAGCCUCUUUGUGUCAUUGCAAGAUGAAGCCUGCGGCCUCUUUCUGUUGAAUUUGUUAGAAAUGUGACAGCUUUUGCAGUAUUGAACGACCCACUUGCUAUGACUCCCCGUUGGCUUUAAAUCCUUUGGCUAAAAUUUCAUCCCACCAAGCUUACUCCACGGCUCGCUUAAUUCUACCUCUUUCAUAAAGCCCAGCGAUCAAAGUGGGGAAGCUCCCAACAUCGGUUCAAAUCCAAGUUUGAAGACUAUAUACUCAAAACAGAGAACCCAAGAGAUCUUUCCAAGUGGCAACUUGCCAGAAUCCAGAGAACAUAAGCUUGAACUAGUCUGGUUUUAGAGUAAUAACCUUUUUGUGGUUCUUUAUCGAGAAAUUAUAUUAAAGAUUACAUCAAUGUACAUAAUAAAUCACUAAUUAGGUUAUAAAUUGGCUCAAUUAGCUGAGCGAUUCUAGUGGAUCGAUGGAAAAGGAAAAAAAAAAAACCAACUAUGGCUUUACUCUUGAAAGAACAUUGACAUUACCGCAUUGUUAGCAAGUGAUUAAGGUCAUUGACUUUGGCUUUACUGUUUUUCCUCUACAGCACCGCAGUACAUAUUUUGCAAAUAAAAUUGCAUUUUCUCUGUGGCCUUGUGGUGGGGAUACGGAUUCCUAUAGUCUCAUUAAAGGUUUUUCCUAUGAGUUUCCGUAAAAAUUGUUGUCAAAACUUUUGCCAAAGAGAAACAGAGGAGGAUCGACGAAGUCUUGGUCGCGGUGUUGAGUGGGUCAAGGAGAAAAUAUUGGGUGGUCCGGGACCUCCACGUCAGCGUGGUCCCCGGCCACUCACGAGAUGCCAUGUGGAUGGUGGGCCCACUUGGUGUCUUCUGCCCUCUUCCCCUCUCUCUCCUCCUAGCCUGCACGCUCUCUCUCCUUUCAGAGCAUUUAUUGCGGGGAAAAACUUUUCUCUUUCCUUCGUUUGAGAAAGAAAACGGCCGUUCGUACCUCUCGUUCCUCUGUCCCUCUCCAUUUGUUUCCUUUUGAAAUUCUGAAUCUGAACUUUUCUCCCUCUCUCCACGCUCGUUGCCGCUCCGCCGUGCAUCAAGCGGCCGUUCCCCUCCCAUCGCCGUCAAACCACAUUACGGCCACCCCUACUCCGGUGCUCGCUCGCUUCUCUCUUCGGGCUCGUUGUUGCUCCAUCGUUCGUUCCGACGUUCCUAGGAUUGCAAAUGCAGCACGCGGAGGAGAAGCAGGCCUCUUCGAGCUCUCCUCAACGUCGGCGAGCAUCGCCCGCCGAGCGAGACCCCCACACACGGGAGGCUCGGAGGCGAGGUUGCUGGAGAAGUUGGUGUUCCGGAGGACGGCCUCCUCAACCGGCGACACGGUCGAGGGAGCUGAGAAGGAGGCUGCAGUGGAGUAGUCGAGGGACUUAACGUUGAUUCGGCGAAGCUUGAGCUCGGGCUCUUGACGCAGACGGUGAGGGCGAACCCGAGUGAUGGAUUUAUGAGAUGGGCUUAAGGUCCAUCCGCCCAUGCUGGGCCCAAAAAGCCCGGCCCACGGGAAUAGGGCCCGUGGAUGGGGGAAGGUAUAAAAGGGAGGAGAGAGAGAGAGAAGACACCCCUUGGGAAAUCAUAACGUACGUACGUUCCUCUCCCUCUCUCCCUCCAAGAAAAAGAAAAGAAAAAUGCUUAAGGCGUCCCGUCUUCCCUUCAAGGCAAAUUGGCAUCAUCGGAUCAGAAUUUCUUCCUCGAUUUUUGGCAUUGGUGUUUAAUUUGUGGCUAACAAGGUAUGCUCGAAUCCUGCUUUACGAUCGGUGAUACGUGUUUUUCCGAGCUUCGUCUUCCGCAUUGAUUUAGGGGUUUGAUUUAGUGUCGAAUCCGGUUUUCGGGGAUCAGUAAUUCCCAACAUUGGUAUCAGAGCCCUAGUUCACGUUUUUCCCGAUCAAUUUGAUGUUUUUCAUUGAUUUUUCGUAAAAAAAUUCUCGGCCGUACAGAUCGGGGCGUGAAAUCCCGACACCCGAGCACUAUACGUCCUUUUUUCUGAGUUUCCGUACGUCGGAAUCAAAUUCCGAAGGCACUGCGUGAAAGGCGACGUCGAGACGAGUCCGGCGACAUGUCGUGCGUCGCCGGACGACGUCGCACGCGCCCGAAGCGCUGGCUAUGGCCAGCGCGUGCGCCACACGCGCCGGUGACGAACCGGCACAUGCGCGCCGGCGACCGGCGAAAUGGCACGCGCUGGUCGGCGAAACGGCACGCGCCGGUCGGCGAACCGACGCGUGCUGACGUCAACCACUGACGUCAUCGUGAUGUCACCCAACGGUCGAUAACUGUCUAGAUGACGUCAGCACCGACGACGGUUGGCCGGCCGGUACCAGCCAGUGCCCGACCCGACGGCGACCGACCCGACCCGAUCAGCCUGGCGCAUGCCGCGCACGUGCGGCUGACGUCUGCGUGACGUUAGCACGCUCACGCGCGAGGCAUGUGUCGGCUGACGUCUGCGUGACGUCAGCCAGCGCACGCGCGCGGCACGUGCGGUCGGUUCGUCCUACCGGCCCGACCGGUCCUCCGACCCGCGCGCCCGUUGACCCGACCCGUUGACUGACGACCGUUGACCGUUGACUUUGACCGUUGACCCGGAAAAAAAAAAAGAAAAAAAAAAGGGAAUUUGUUUCUUUGUUCAAUUAUGUCUGUGUGGAUUGUAGGUAAUCCAUUUUUAUUCUGCAUUUGUUGCAUGAAUCAUGGAAAUUUAUGUAUUUUCCAUUUUGUUUAUUAUGGAUUAUAAGUGAUCCAUUUUAGUUCUGCAUUUGUUGCAGGAACUAUGAUGCGUUAUGCACGGAUACCUGCAAUCCCAAGAACGGACGAAGGAAGAGCUAGACUGAAAAGACUGAUGAAAGAGUUAGCUGAUUAUCGGUGGCUUGAUGGUGAUUUAGUAUCACACAUGGUCAAGGUCAAUUAGAUGAUACAGGAAAUCAUCUGGAAUGGUUACCUUAUGCCGGACUUUGAGAAGGUGCCGGUUUUGAUGAACACUCUUCCACCUGAAUGGCAAUCAGUGUUAGAUCGGCUAUGGGAGAUCAACGUGGUCCCGGAUUACAGAGGGCUAGUGGAAGCUUUUGUAAGAGAGUACUAUAGGAUUGAGUUGGCCAAAACUUCAACCCUUAGAUUGAGCGCCACAUGGCGCAGAGCGAAUGCGCCUUGGUGGCGACAUAAGAGCUCUCCAAAAGUUUUUUCAUGGUUGGCAAAUGUGCCUUCGGUUUUCUCAGAUGUUUUGACUGAUAGAUUAGAAGGGACUUUCCCUAAUUAUUUCUUUGAUUAAUUACGUAAUGUUUACUACCUAAUUGUUGUUGAUGUAGCAACCGAUAUGUUAGUUGUAUCAUGUGAAAGCAUUGUUAUUUUAUUCGAUGUUAGAUAAUAUUUGCUUUCUGUUACUGCUAAUUGCUGUGGGUAGUUAGCUGUGGGUAGUUAUAGAAGUUUUUGUAACUUCAUAGAAUUGAUUUUGCAUAUGACAAUCAUAUUAAUGAUGGUUUCAAGUUAGGAUUUUUGGAGGAUGAUUGGAAACGUAGUGACCUUUUGAUUCUGAAGCCUUAAAAUUAUUCAUUAAUAUAAUGGGUCUAUGUAAAAGUGGAUGCAUAAAUGAUAGGCAUUAAUAAUUCGUGCAUGUAUGUCUGAUGUGUUCAGAUCGAUAUUUUCAGUAACUAAGAACGUUAUUGCUGAUAUGAACGGUAACAAUUGUGAAAUAUUGAAUAUGAAGAUUCAAUAUGUGCUGGAAAAGCAAGAAGCACUAGAAGCUCUUGACCAUAUUAUGGAAGAUCUAGAGGAUGAUGUGCGCCACCUUGAGCUAGUAGAGGACUGCCUAUCGGCAUUUGAGCCGAAAAUAGACAUUGGCUAUGCUGGUUCUAGCUCAAAAAAGGGCUUUGAGCUCUAAGCUCAAACGUAUUGAUUCGUUCAAUAUGUGGGAAAGCAAAGGAUCAAGUCCUUAUUGCAAGAGAUCAAGAGUUAACCAAUACAAGAGAGGAAAACGUCCUCAAGUGAAGAAAAUGUGUGUUACAAUUGUGACAAGAAUGGUCACUAUGCUCGCAACUGUUGUGAGCCAAAGAAGGUAAACACCUCUUGUGCAUUUGAGAACUUUGAUUAUGUGUCAAGUUUUGAAUUAUUGGCUGAAUCCAAUCCUUUGUGGACUAUAGAUUCAGGAAAGACAGACCAUGUAGCGAAGGAUAGAGAAUCCUUCGUGGAAUUUCGACGAUACCGACUCGAACUAAGUGGAUCUAUGUGGGAUAUAACUCCAGAAAUGAAGUUAAAGGGAUUGGCACCUGCCAAUUGAACAUGCGUGGUGGAUGCAUCUUGUUCCUACAUGACGUUCCAUAUGCUCUAGAGAUUCGUCGAAAUUUAACGUCUGUUUUGGUGUUGGUUAAACUUGUUUUUUAUAUGAACUUCCAUAAUAAAGGUGUAGAUUUGUGUUUAGAUACAAACUACUAUGGUUGUGGUCACUUUCUAGAUGGUUUUAUUGUAUUGAAUGUUGACUGUGGUGAUGUCAAUAUGUUAUUCCCUCGUUUCACGUCUUUUACUUCAUGUAAUGAUGAUGUGAAUAUGUGGCAUGCUAGACUUGGUCAUAUUGGCCAACAACAUAUGAAUAGACUAGCCAAAGAGGGCUUGUUGGGCAAUAUUGAAAAAGUCGAUUUGUCCAUAUGUGAGCAUUGCCUAGUAGGGAAAAUGACAAGGAAACCAUUUGGAGAAGGUAAAAGAGCUGAAUUUCCUCUACAUUAAUCCAUUUGGGCGUCUAUGGUUCAAUGAAUGUGAGAGAAAGGCAUGGGACUGUUUAUUUCAUCACUUUUAUAGAUGAUUAUACUCGAUUCGGAUGUGUCUAUUUGAUUUUUCAUAAAUCUGAAGCAUAAGUUGUUUCAAAAGGUUUAUGAACUUGGUUGAAAAUCAAUUAGACAAUAAAAUAAAAGCAUUGAGAUCUGAUCGAGGUCGAGAAUAUUUAUCUAAUAAGUUCAGAAAAUUAUGUGAUGAAAAAGGAAUAGAAAGACAGUUGUCUAUUCCAUAUACUCCUCAACAAAAUGGUGUUGCAGAGAGAAGAAACAGAACCCUACUGGAAAUGGUUAGGUCCAUGAUGGCGCAUGUUAACUUACCUAUCAUUUUUUGGAGUGAUAUGUUGUUAACUACUGCUUAUAUACUUAACCGAAUGCCUUCCAAAUCAGUUAGUUCCACUCCAUAUGAGUUAUGGAUAGGUAGAAAUCGGACUUAAGUUUACUUAAGCCAUGGAAUUAUGCUGCCUAUACUCAUAUGUCCUCUCACAAGUUUGGAAAAUUGAGUCCCAGAUAAAAUAAGAGUAUUUUCAUGAGAUACUCCGAACACUCGAAAGGGUAUAUGUUCGUAGGUGAGCAGGAAAGUGGGAGUAUAACUGAAUUUGAAUCACGGGAUGCCACAUUCUUAGUGGAUGAAUUUCUUAAGAAGUGCAAAAUAGGGAAAUAUUACUUCCUAUUUGAAACCUUGGAUCUAGAUAAUGAUAUUGGUUGAGUUCGUCCAAGUGGGAGUAAUAUGAGAUGUGAUGAAUUGAAUUCAACUCAUUCUCAAUUACAACCACAUGAUGAGAUGAUAUCGUCAUUAUCUAAUUUGAGUGGGAGCAUAACGGGGAAUGAUGUGCUAAGUGUACAUUCUCCCAUAUAGCGAACAAGUCGCCAAAGUAUCCCCCGUCGACGUUUUGACAUUGAAGGGGGAAACUUUUAUAAUUGCUCCACGAGAUAAGGAUGAGCCAAGAAAUAUUAAUGAGGCUCUAAAUUGCCCUAAUAAGGAAAAAUGGAUUAAUGCAAUGGAAGAGGAAAUGGAGUCAGUGAAAUCAAACCAAGUCUGGGAACGGGUUGAUCUUCCAAAAGGGACGCAGAGCUAUUGGGAACAAGUGGGUUCUCAAAAUAAAGCGAAAGGCUGAUGGCUCGAUAGAAAGGCAUAAGGCUCACCUUGUGGCGAAGGGGUAUAAUCUACAGGAAGAUAUUGAUUAUGAAGAUACAUUUUCUCCUGUAGUGAGAUUUACCUUGAUUCGCAUAAUUCUGGCAAUAGUGUUUAGCAUGGAUCUUGAGUUACAUCAAAUGGAUGUAAAGACUGCUUUCCUCAAUGGAGAAUUAGAGGAAAAAAUAUAUGGAACAACCUGCUGGUUUCAUAAUGGAAGGCCAAGAAGAAAAGGUAUCUCGACUUUGGGGGUCGAUAUAUGGCCUUAAGCAGUCGUCAAGACAAUGGUAUAUACGUUUUCAUAAUGCCAUAAUGGCAUAUGAGUUUACAAUGAUUAAUGAGGAUCAUUGUGUAUAUAUCAAAAGAUCCAAGGAUCAAUUUGUGAUCAUAUCAUUAUAUGUUGAUGAUAUACUGAUUGCCAGAAGCAAUAUGGAGUUGGUUAAUACUGUCAGGAGAUAGUUGUCUUUCAACUUUGAGAUGAAUGAUAUGGAAUUGUAAACCCAUAAACACUCCUAUUGCAAAAGGUGAAUGAUUGAGCUAUAGACUAUGUCCAAGGACUCCACAAGAGAAGGAACAAAUGAAACAUGUUUCUUAUGCUAGUGCUGUUGGGAGCUUGAUGUAUGCUAUGAUGUGUACAAGACCUGACAUAUGUUAUGUAGUUGGAAUGGUGAGCAUAUACCAAUCCAAUCCAGGUCAAGCACGUUGGAAAGCCGUUAAAAGAAUACUAAGGUAUCUAAAGGGGACUGCUGAUUAUACGUUGAGUUAUUAUGGAAAGGAUCUGCGACUCUAAGGCUAUUCUGAUGUUGAUUAGGGAGGAGAUUUAAAUAAAAGGAAAUCUACCUCUAGGUUUGUUCUCUUAUCGAAUAAUGGCACCAUGUGUUGGAGCAGUAAGAAACAAAAGUGUAUAGCCUUGUCCACGAUGGGAAUUGAGUUCGUGGCAUUAUCAGCAGCAGUAGAAGAAGAUGUUUGGCUUAAGAGAUUUUUUGGAUCAUUUAGGUGUUAUUGGAAGUGCUGCAGAUUAAUUGUUGGUUAAUUAUGAUAGCCAAGCAGCAAAAGCGUACACCAAAGAUCCAAAAUAUCAUGGCAAGACGAAACAUAUAGAUACCAAGUAUAAUUUUGUCAUGGAUAUGAUUGCACGAAAAGAUGUGAACUUAGAGUACAUACUACGCAUAGAAUGGUAGCAGAUCCUAUGACAAAACCAGUACAUAGAGAUGUGUUUUGUGGCCAUAUGAAAUCUCUAGGACUGCGUAGAGGCUAAUGUACUGAAUAUCAUAAUUUUCCCUAAGUGUUCACAUAUGAUGAAUUUAUGUUUUUCAUCAUUAAUGCUUAUGAAUCUUUGUUUGAUCUUUAUGCAUCUUAAUGCUUAGUGCAUUACUUUAAGUUAGGAAAGUAUGUUGGACAGAUAUGAGAUUAGCCCACUCACACGGGUAAUCGCUUCUAUUUAUUGUGUGACAAAUAGAGAUGAGACUGUUUUUAAGCUUAUUAUCUAAGUGAUAAUCGAGAGCUCAAGCUUAAAACAUGUAUGUCGCCUUAACUGAGUGUUAAGAUGAGGACAUAAUACUUACUAUGUUCGAAAGUAAAAUACCCCACAUAUUUUACUUUAUCUGUCUAUGAUGCCAAAUGUGAGUUCUGAUGAAUUUAGUAAAUGAGUAGAUACGUGAACUCAAGUUAGACAUUGGAUAUGUCUGAACUAUCAUCUGUACGGUAUAGAAAGGUGUAGACAUACGCUCCAUGGGAAAUGAGUUAAUACCGUAAUACGUAUUUCAUACUACGUAUGCAUGAGACGACCAAUAAGAGUGGCAAAAGUUUGAUCUCAACUUUUUAUGUCGUGUGAGACUCUUGAGGAAAAGAGUUCCUCAAUUUUUUAGUCCCCUCAUGACUCUUACUUAUUCUCAAGAUUUUUAUUUAGUGUUUGCUAUCUUAGGAUGUUGCCAAUGGUCAUGAGUUUGAUUCGAUCUAAUGGGGCAUUUCUAGAAAAGCAAGUUGAACUGAAAUUGAGAGUUUGAAGGGAAGAGGAAGAUCGAUUUAGGAGAAUCACAUUGUAGUUUUGUAUUCACCGGUUAACCAAUUAUGACUAUCUUUGGGAUAAUCAUAAUUGUGAAUACAAUAUAUAUAUAUCAUUGUUUAAAAGAGAUCAAGAGAGAUAUAAAUGUGAUCGAUCGAUCUAGGGAACUGCAUACUAAAUCUACUCGGAGUGAAAUGCCCAUUAUGAGCUGCUAUAUAUUCCUAACAGAUGUAUAGCAACGAGCUCUCAAAGUAUGCUGGUCGCACAGAUUAUUCACCGGUAUGAAUGUUGAAGAGAGGAAAAGAGGAUUCUGUUCGGCCCAUCAUGUUAAGUGAGAAUCUAUGAUGGAUUUUUCUCUGAUGGGGAUGAAUAGGGCCUGUCCGCCCAUGUUGGUUUUGGACCACCAUGUGCGAGUGGGAGAUGAUGGAUUUAUGAGAUGGGCUUAAGGUCCAUCCGCCCAUGCUGGGCCCAAAAAGCCCGGCCCACGGGAAUAGGGCCCGUGGAUGGGGGAAGGUAUAAAAGGGAGGAGAGAGAGAGAGAAGACACCCCUUGGGAAAUCAUAACGUACGUACGUUCCUCUCCCUCUCUCCCUCCAAGAAAAAGAAAAGAAAAAUGCUUAAGGCGUCCCGUCUUCCUUUCAAGGCAAAUUGGCAUCAUCGGAUCAGAAUUUCUUCCUCGGUUUUCGGCAUUGGUGUUUAAUCUGUGGCUAACAAGGUAUGCUCGAAUCCGUGGUGUGCUUUACGAUUGGUGAUACGUGUUUUUCCGGGCUUCGUCUUCCGCAUUGAUUUAGAGGUUCGAUUUAGUGUCGAAUCCGGUUUUCGGGGAUCAGUAAUUCCCAACACGAGGAAGGUGGUGCGGAGGUUGACGAUCAAGGCGAGGGUGUAGACGAAGCACUUGCAGCUGCUGCGCCUUUGGUUGCAGCAAGGUGGCGGCUUGGCGAAGUGAGCGAGCUAGUGAAUGCAAGAGAGCACGGGUCACUCAUUGAGGGGGUUGAUGUGUUCCUAUGCCGUCGUCCGAGGUUUUUGCCGGUUGGACGUGCAGGACCGUGUGAAAGCUGGGUUUGAGUGGGUCUGUGCUGUGCUGCUCUAUCGUUGUCGCUCUUUGAACCUCCACCGGUGAUGACCCGCGCAGGGCAUUCGAGGCGGCGUUGGAAGGUGCUAAAGCCCAAGGCAAGAUCGACAGCAGUGGAGGGUGGAGGAAGAAGAGCAGAUGGGUAGUUAUGGUGGACAACUGCAUCGGCCAAGAGCAUGUUUUCAGGAUCAUCUCACCACAGAGGAAACAGAUUGAAGCUUGAGGACGAGAUUCAUUUGGUUUUGGGAAACAAAGAGGACUAAGACUUUCUGCUAGAUCUAGAUCUGGUCAUCCACACUAACUCCUAAAAUCUUGCAAAUGUAAAUAGCGAUUGAUUGUAUUAUGUAAUCUCCCUCUCUCUUGAGCUCAUAAUCUCCUGCGCAUGUGAAUAGUCUGUGUGCUCUUAUGAAUAUGUUGGGGGUGUGCAAUGAGGAAAGAUCAGCUGGCUUGUUUUGGGUUUCAUGCGCAACUUUAGUAGGAAAUGAUAUGAAAUCUUUGAUCUCCCAACAACACCUAACUUCGGCGACCACUAUAACCAAAGCAAUCGAAUAUCGCAGAGAAUCUUUGAUCUCCCAACAACACCUAACUUCGGCGACUACUAUAACCAAAGCAAUCAAAUAACAAAGGGAGAGAGAGAGGGAGCUUGAAGGAACGCCUCGCCAACGCCAGUCGUCCGCCCGAGAGCCACCGUCCGCCACAGCCCUUUUCCCGUUCAACCGGGUGGGUUUCCCGAAGCAUACUCGCUUCGUUUUCAUGGGAACUUCGAUUCUUCCAGUCCUUCAUCGGUGUUGUAACGAGUUAUGGUGCCCUCUGUUAGGGUCCCAAACCUGUGUUCGAGUCUUGAUCGAGUCUAAAAUCUAUCGUUUCAGCUGUGCAUAUUAGAUGUUCGACAAAAUGCUUGAGUGAAUGGCCGAAUCCCACAUAGUCGAAUCGAUUGUUAGAAGCCUAGUUUAAUGCAUUUGUUCUAAUAUUGUGAAUCUACGUCUGAUAUCAUUCUUCUCUCUUUGUUUCCCUGCGAUUUUUAUGGCAUAUGCAUCAAAUGCUGGGUUCACCGGAAAAGCAAAACCUCGUUGGAAUGCAAACCCCUCGUCAGCGAGUCCUGCGGUUUAAGGCCAUCCUAGUUAGCACUUGUUCUGAUUUUAUUGCAUUCUUGACUAUUUAUUUGCCGGAAAUCUGGGAUCAAAAAUUUUAGCUUCGGUAUGGUUAUUUGCUUUGGUUAUAGUGAAAGAUAAAAAAUUCUCAGAUUAUUGCCCAUUUAUCUGCAUCAAUCUGGAUAGCUCCUAUGGUUAUAAAGAUUGACCCUUAGCAAAAUUGACCGAAAAUGAUCUCUAGAGAUAAGUAAUCCAAUCUGCUCUCCCAGAUAUAAAUUGAAAAAGAACGAGAAGCAGAAAGAAAAAGAUUUGGAGAGGAAGAUAGACUAGAUAUAGUAUUAUAUGCCUUAAAAAGCUCUCUAUUCAUGAUUCCCUGAAUUAUAUGAACACGAUGACAAUCAUCCCACAAACCCAAAAAGAAAAGCGAAAGCACCACCAUCAAGAACAGCCUCUCAAGAACAGCCUCUCUCAGUGAGUGACCCGUGCUCUCUCGCAUUCACUUGAACUCCGACUUUCGUGAUGCCUAAAGAAGAUCCGACCAGCCCAAUCGUGCCCUCCAGACCCCGCCUCCAGAGCGACGACGUGGAGCUCGCCCACUUCGCCAAGCCGCCACCUCACUGCAACUAGAGGCGCAGCAGCUGCAAGUGCUUUGUCUACACCCUCACCCCGAUCGUCAACCUCCGUGCCGCCUUCCUUGGGUUCGCCCUCACCGUCUGCGUCAAGAGCCCCGAGCUCAGGCUUCACCGCGUCGACGUCAAGUCCCUCGACUACUCCACCGCGGCCUCCUUCUCAGCUCCCUCAACCGCGUUGCCGGUUGGGGAGGCCGUCCUCCGGAACACCAACUUCUCUAGCAACCUCGCCUCCGAGCCUCCCGUGUUUGGGGGUCUCGCUCGGCGGGUGACGCUCACCAACGUUGAGGAGAGCUCGAAGAGGCCUGCUUCUCCUCCACGUGCUGCAUCUGUGAUCCUGGGAACGUCGGAACGAACGAUGGAGCAACAACAAGCCCGAAGAGAGAAGCAAGCGAGCACCGGAGUAGGGGCAGCCGUAAUGUGGUUCGUCGAUAAUGGGAGGGGAACGGCCGCUUGAUGCACGGCAAAGCGGCAACGAGCGCGGAGAGAGGGAGAAAAGUUCAGAUUCAAAAUUUCGAGAGGAAACAAAUGGAGAGGGACAGAGGAACGAGAGGAACGAAGGGCCGUUUCUCAAACGAAGGAAAGAGAAAAGUUUUUCCCCGCAAUAAAUGCUCUGAUAGGAGAGAGAGCGUGCGGGCUAGGAGGAGAGAGGGCAUUGGCAGGCUAGGAAGAGGAGAGAGAGGGGAAGGGGCAGAAGACACCAAGUGGGCCCACCAUCCACAUGGCACCUCGUGAGUUGCCGGGACCACGCUGACGUGGAGGUCCCGGACCACCCAAUAUUUUCUCCCAUUCCUUCAGACAACAUCAUAUACGGGAGAUCUUGAUUUUGACUUUGGAGUACUCUGUGCAUUCUCUCUCAUCUUUUUUCUUAAAUAUCUCGGAUGCAUUGUCGUUAUUAGUUAUUGUUUUUAUUAUUAUAUUAUUGACCAAAGAUCCAUGGAGUAAAGUUAAACUUCUCCUGACCACCACCCGCGGUGGCCGCGCGGUUAAGAGCUUGGUACCCUUUUCGCAAGAGGGGAAGAGUUCGAAACUUCGUGGACGCAGUGUGUCAUGCACAAACACGCGUCUUAACUGCGAAAGGGACUAGUGGUGGGAGGCUCUGAGCUCCAGGGUUUACUCUUCGCCGCGAAGCGGCAGUGCGGAGGUUCCCUGGGUACCAAAAAAAAAAAAAAAAAAAAAAACUUCUCCUGGUACAUUGUUCUUAUUACAUCUCUCUUGUAACAUCAAUCAUGUUGUAUUCUCCUGUUGGCCAUAAUCAGUAUUUACAUAAAAUCGAUCAUUUGGGACCAUUUGUAAUUUAUUCCUUCACACCACUGAUUCUAUGCGAUAAUGUUAUCAAAUGUCCGUAUCUUUUAAUUCUCGACUCUUCAUCCUCACCACUUAAAUGAUAUUGAAGGUCCAUUGUAACACCAACUGCUUCUUGAGGGAUAGCUAUAAAGAUUAUUGCCGUGCCAGUCUCCAGGAUGGAAACUGGAGCAGCGCCCCCACAUACCGACAAGAAGGCCUGCUUGUACUUUUUUCCCUAAGGAAAAUUACAUCAAACAUUUUAAGAACAUCAUAAAGAUGCGACAUUGGAUUUGCAAAUUAUAGGGAUUUCGAUUUUCUACAAGGAGCUCAUGACAUUUUGCAUUGUACCUUUCUUUGUACAACUUGUUAGUCAACAUUCAGGACCUACCAUCAGCCUAAGGCCGAGUUUUCGUGAGGAACUAUGGUUCUAUCUAUGAUGCUUGAUCGAAUCAAAAUCUAGAGUUGUAUUCACAUUAUCGGCUCAGUUAAAAGUAAUUUUCAUGUGAUUCUUCCGUGAGAAGAAGGUAAAUGUGAUGGCAUGAAGAGAAUCGGUAUUCGAUGUGUCGUGGAUGCCUCCAUCUUCCUUGCAAUGGAGUUUUCACAAUCAAUACAGCGCAAGGGACAGAAACUCCAUCACCUGAACGGAGUACUUCACGGCGAGGCUCGCGACCCUAUCGCCGCGCUUAAUCCGGUGCGAGAUCGCGACCUUCCCUAUGCCGUUAUCCCUCCAGAAGCUGCCCGACCUCGGGAGGCCGACCACCUCCUUCAACCUCCAGGGGGCCGCGAAGGCUCGGGUGACCAUGUCACGAUCGGAGGCGACGGAGCUCCAGAUGCGGAGACGCAACUCGCGCGGGCCAGGUCAGCGACGGGGAGCUUCUCGAAGAUGAGCCGGAGGGUGUCGCGGCAAGCGAGGGCGGAGAAGUGGGAGUUCAUCGGCGAGAUGGUGGAACCGUCGGCGGCGGAGGCGGAGGAGGAGGAGGCGGCGGCGGAGGAGAGGGAUCGGGGGUCCGGGGUGGAGGCUCCCGGUCGUCGUCGUCGUUGUCGUAGCCGCAGCAGCCGAUUUAGAGAGAGAGAGAGAUGGGAAUGUCUGAAAUAUGUUUUUGGAUGGUUUUGGAUUUUUGAUUUUGAAUGGUGGAUAGUAGUGCCUAAAAUAUGGGUUGAAUUACGGUUUUCCCCCGUGUUUUGUCAUUAAUUACAAAUUGCCCCUGACUUUUCGAUUUUUUGCGAUGUCUCCCCUAAAUUUGAAAUCGGUUGCAAUGUCAGACUGGUGUGACUUCCAUCAUUUUUCAGCUUGAGCACCGACCAUGUGCUUGUCACGUGACUGAGUUGAUCUUUCAUGGAGGGUAAAUCCGUCGGAUAAUAACAUGCAAAUUGCAUUUUAACCCCCAAACUUUGGCACGUAUGAGAAGUUGCCCUAACUCUCCCGCAUAUUUCUCUUCCACUUUUUGUCAGCAAUAGAAAUUAUAAAAUCAUUUCCUUUGAUUUAUAAAUAUAUUGCUCACACGAAAACUUCACAAAGGCAAGUACUUAUACCGAUUUGGUAUUUUUUUUUUUUUUUACAUGAACAUCUGAUGUUCAUAUCAUGUUCCUACAAACUAAUGAUAGUGCUAAACUAUCGUGUCCUUUAUUUAGCAAUCAAAACAAUUGACUUACUAAGUAAUCACUUUAAUUUGUGCUAAUAAACCAGUUUUGCAGGUUCUAUUGUGUCUUUGCAAAUUUUAGGACUUUUGCUUACAUUUCUUAAAUUGCUUAUAUGUCUUACCCUGUGUUGCAAGCCCUAAGAAGUCAUUUCUAUAUAAAUGAUACACAUAUUUUUUUAGUUGAUUACAUAUACCUUUGAAAGUUUGGAUGAAGUUUGGUGGCCAUAAUUAAAAUCAAAUAUAACAUUUAUUAUUGACUAAUUAUUUUAGAAGUAUGGGUUUGUUUCGCAAGUUUUGGAUUCCGCAAUAAAAUAUUUUUUAGCAAUUGUUAUAUUUUGGUUUUUAUUAAAAGAGACUCAAAUUAUAUAUUAGUUUUGAAUAUACACCUAUAAUCUCGAGUUCAAAGAAGUCGCCCACUUGACACGGGCUUAAUAUCAACAAUAAUUAAUAUCAAAACCUGAUUGGUGACAUCAUACACAAUAAUGAAAGCCCAUUAAAAUUAAAGUAGUUUACACAAUAUCGAAGGCACUUCAACAACACUAGAUAUUAACAAGAUGCCUAGAAAGCACCAUUUCCUACUAAGUUCAAGACAUAACGUUGGAAUCUAAUCAACACCGCUAAAUAAUGAAGACAACACCUAGUAGACAAUACUUCUAGAUGGAUAUGAGAACACAAUGUCGGAAUUUAAUUAACAACACUAGACAGUGAUAAUAUAAUAUCACCUAGUACACCUUGUUCCUAGAUGCACAUCAAGAUAGAACAUCGGAAUCUAAUUGAUGACACAAGUAGAGGCAACACCUAAUGAACGCUGCUUUUGGAUGAGGAUGAUUAUACAAUGCCGGAAUCUAAUUAAUGACUUUGGAUAAUGGGUGAGCAUCGGAAUCUAAUCAGGAGCACCGUUCGCCCUUGACCUUCCUCAAGUUCCUUCUGGUCCGGCGAUUUUUGGUUUAUAGACAAUUGCAUGGGGCUUGGCUCCGACCACUGCCACGCCCCCGGUUCCCUUCUAGCGUCGUGAAACGUUGCUGAAUGUCCUGCAAAGCUACCAACACUUGCAGCUGUAAGUCUUGGGAGUUGGUCCCUUGCGCCACUGAUUCCGACUUGAUACCAAGCUGUUAGGAUCGGAAUUCCUAACACGGUUUCUUCACAUACGUGGACGCGUAAUUUUGAAACAUCUAUGAGAUGUUUCCACCAAAGCUUCAUGCGGAAUCUCAAACGCUUUGAUUUUGUUUUAUUUCUUGAAUGCAUAAUUCCUUCAUACAACCUAGGAAUUUUAUUAUAAAAGGAAAUGGAAAUACUAAUGAUGCAAAUUGACCCAGCUAUAAUGAUAAUUGAUUCAGCUACUAAUUCUAUUCCAUUUUGAGCUUUCCUUGAUUCUUGCUUCCAUCCUGAUAAGUCAUCAUCCCUUCAAUUUUGGUAUGAAAUCUUCAUUCUCGGUCCCAGAUUCCAUUUUAAGCUUUCUUGAUUUUUGUUUCCAUCCCGAGAAAUCAUUCUCCCUUUAAUUUUGGCCAGAAAAUCUUCAUUCUGUCCUGAUUUUUGCUUUCCACUUUGGAUAUGUAUCUUGACCGUGACAAUCGGACAUACAAAAAUGAACAAUUUGAGAAGUUGCUUGAGCUUAAGGUUCCUCCAGGUGAGCGAUGCGAAUUUUAGCAGAGAUUUUGAGAAACUAUCUCCUGAAUUAAGAUGGCUUCAAUGGAGGGGAUGUUACUCAUCUUUUGAGGCAAGCAACUUGUGUCUAGAGAAACUAAUCAAGCUAGGAUUGACACAAUGCGCAAUUACAGAACACUGAAAUGGAUGGGAGCUUAAUCAAGGUAAGCUGGAAUGACACAUCUUGAUGUCGAUUUUUCUAAUAUUGAUUACUCCUUGACGACAAAUUCCCAUUAUACUUCUCAUUCUUAUAGAUGGGAAAGUGGCUAAAUUUCUGGACCUUUACUAGGUGUGAUCAUUUACAAUGUAUUCUCGACUUCUCGGCUCUCCAAAAUUUAAAAAUUAUCAUCCUUAAGGUGAACAUCUGGAGCAGGUUCCCCUUCUAUUAAUGAAUUAGGAGAAUUGAAGGAACUUGUUUUGGAUUCGACUGCUAUAAGAGAGAUUCCUGCUAUUAGUUCGCCGAGAAAACUAGCUUAGUAUCAAGCGUUGUUAUGGUUUGGUUCAACUUUUGGACUCCAUAAGCCAUCUAGUGAAUCUGUUGACCCUCGAAUUUAUGCAACUGUUCGGAAGUGGCCGAACUUCCAGGCAACAUUGGGUACCUUAAGAAGCCGCAGAGCUUGCUAUUUGGCACGACUUCUACAAUUUCUUGCCCAUUGACAUAGAUCCCAGACUCCAUUGGGAAGAUGGAGUCAUUGACUGAACUCAACUUGUCCAACACAAGCGUAAUGUAACUACCAUCUCCCAUUUGGGGAUUUCCAUAAUUUGGAAAUCCCGAAAAUUUCUUGCCCAUUGACAUAGAUCCCAGACUCCAUUGGGAAGAUGGAGUCAUUGACUGAACUCAACUUGUCCAACACAAGCGUAAUGUAACUACCAUCUCCCAUUUGGGGAUUUCCAUAAUUUGGAAAUCCCAAAAAUUUCUCCUACCAAGAUCUAAAAGUUGCCGGGUACUAUUAGAAGGUUAGGGAUCUCAAAGAACCUUUCUAGGAGUCACUAGGUAGAGUUGCGUUUUGCCUCCUCUUUUUACCUAAUCCAUCAAAGAGGACUCAUUGUUUUUUUUUUUUUUUUUUUUUGGUGCUGGAGGAAUCAGCUUGCAGCCGAUAGCCGUGCCGUAAACCCCCAAGUGACACUUAAGCAGGAGGACCCACCACCCCUGGGUUUUGAACCCUUCACCUCUAGGCUGAGGAUCAGCAGGGCCUUAUCCAGCGGAGCUACCGCGGCCGGUGGGAAAGAGGACUCAUUGUUUAUGAUUGCAUGUUGCUAAAAUCUCUCCCAGGGCUUCCUCUAUGACUAUUGAAGCUUCAUGUUGCAGGAUAUGGCAAGUUGAAACACUUGCCAAGAUUAGAGCUCCGUGAAUGCUCUAGACUGAUGCAAAGUGAAUGCUGGCAAGUAUCAAUAUCCCCAUCAAUGUUGGCCAUAGCAAGUCGCGUGAGGUUGACUAAGCUGGAUGGCCUUAGUUAAUAUGCAGAGCCCUUGAGAUGCGUGCCAAUGAGUCGAAACAAAAAACAAAAAAAGAAUCAGCCUCGUCCAAACCUUGUCCAAGCCUUUUUUGUGGUUAUUUUUCAAUUGAUUAUGGUAAAUAUUACAUCAAAACACAUUGAAAAUUAUUUAUUAGAUUUAUGUUCUCUUUUUGUUUCGUGCAAAAAAAUAAUCAUACACUGUUUAAAGUAUUACCAAACAGACUCCUAGCCUUCUACACCUUUUACACACACACACAUAUUAAAUUAGAUUUGGACCACAAGAUUUAUGUAAGUUUUAUAUGAGUCUUGCUAAAUCUAACAACUUAAAUUCAAAUUAAGAUGAGUGUAUGUUGAGUUCAUUAAUGGUGCAUUUAGUAAUAUUUUUAUUCUCAGGAAUAAUUUCUAUUUAUAAAUAAUUUUUUUUCAUUUCUAUUUUAGGAAAAAAGAAAUAGAUUUUUGUUACUUCUUUUAUCUAUUUCAAAUUUAUACCUCGGCCACAUUUCUAUUGAGAGAAUAGAAAAAUUAAUUGACAUUAUUAAACGGAUUUAUAUUCUUUUUAUUACGAGGAAUAAAAGAAUAGAAAAAUAGAAAAAUAAGAUAAUUGCCAAACAUGCCUUGAAUGAUCACUAGAGAAAUGAGUAGGAAAUGAGUGAUCUAUCACAUGGACAUUGGUCCAAGGAACGGGCAAAGGAGAGAAAAAGCUCACGCGGUUGUCGUACCACGUGAGUUGGCUUCCACGUGCUCGGGUGUACCGCACUUGAGCAUGAAGCCCGCUAAGGAGGAGCCAUGUAUAAGCAAAUGCGUAUAUCAUUAUUAUUUUCUCUUUCGGACCUAAGCAUGUCCUUAAACUACUUAUGUUUUCGGAGUCAACCCCAACAAUAAAAUGGGAUAAUGAUAAUCAUGGGGGUCCGGACCACCCUUAAUUCGGGUCCCCCGGCCUUGAUUCCCGUGAAGCCCUUCUCUUUUUUGAUUAACAUGAAUUACAUGUGAAUGUAGUUUAGACUCAUUAGAUUUCUAUGUAGUUAUACUUUUUUACUUUAAAUUCACAACAACCCAUUCUCUUUAAAUUUUUGCUAACUAAUAUACAAUCUAACUCACAACAAUCUAACUCACUAAAUAUGAGUUAAAUUGUAGAUUUCUCUUUUUAGCCAUUUUAACGCCAGCAAAAGACUUCCAUUUCCACUGUGGGAAAGCAGAAGGUUGCUCAUCCUCACUUUGAUUUGCAUGGCUAGGUGGUCCAAUUACAAGGAAAUAUGAUAAAAGGUGAGGGUUAAAGAAGCAAAUUGCCACAUCAAAGACAUCCAUGGUAAUAUUGUGUGUAUCCCAAGCACAUUUGGCUCUUCUUUUAAGGAAAGAGAAUAAGUAAUUUCCAACAAGGACACUUUUGCAAAAUUUGCCAAGUAAAGCAAACGAUUGCAUUGCAUGGCUCUUUAAGGAGUAACACAAUGUGAAAACUAAUAGUGCAUUUGGUAAUUAUUAUGUUUUCAUAAAUGAUUUUUUUUUAUUUUGUUCUCUAAACAAGUUUUAAGGAUUUGAAGGCAUUUGGGUAACUGCUUAAAAUUUCUAAUCUUGAAUAGAAAUACAUUUGGUACAACAUUUAAUUUUUUUUUGUGACUCGAAAUUUCUUUCAAUCUUUUCAUACUUUUAUUAAUUUUUUUCUCUUUUAAUUUUUAAUAAAUUUAUUAUAUAAUUUUAUCGUAUUUUUUAAUAUAAUUUCAUUAUGUCAUUUUAUUAAAUUUUUAAUAUAAUUUUAUGUUAUGAAAGUGAAAAAAUUCCAAAUAAUGGUCCGAAGUGCCUUCAUUUUCUAAAAUAAGAGCCUAAAAUAUACAUCGUUUCAAAUAAUAUUAGUCUAAAAAAAGGCCUAAAGUGAUUAUGGUUAUUUCAAAUAAGGACCUAGCCUUGUCGGCUCAUUGAUAGACAAAUUUUUUUGGCCAAUCAGGGAUAUUUUUGUCCAAAUACAAUUCAAAUUUAAAUUAAAUUAGAUUAAUUAAAAAAAAAAACAAAGGUGGGAGGGAACCUCCCUCUCUUGCGUGUUCAUCUUUCUUGUUUUAAGUUUUAAUUUUUUGGAAGCAAAAAAUAGAAAAAGAAAGAAAGAAAAUUUAAAAAUUUAAAAAAUUAAAAGAUGAAAUUGCCCUUGACUAAACAUUGACUUCAGACCCUUUUAUGAUACUGAUAUGGUCACUUCAAAUCUUUAUUUUAUAUAAGAUUCACUUCAGGCCUUUAUUUGAAAUAACAGCCACUUUAAGUCAUUAUUUGAGAAAAUGAUGGCACUUCAAACUUUUAUUCGAAAUUUUAUUUUAUUAUAUUUUUUAAAUAUUCUUUUAAUUUUUUAAUAAUUUCAUUAUAAAUUUUUAUUAUAUGUUUAGAUUAGUUUAUUAUAUAUAUAUUUAAUUUAAUUAUAUAAUUUUAUCAUAUUUUAAAUAUAUUUUUCAAAUUUUCUUUUAAAUUUUUAAUGAUUUUAUUAUAUUUUUUAAUAAUGUUAUUAUAUUUUUGCUACCGGCUAGAGGAAGAAGAAGAGAAAAGAAAAGCAAAAAAAAAAGAAAAGAAAAGAACCUGAUUUGGCUUGAUUCUGAAGUUAUUUUCGGAACAAAAAAUUAUUUUUUUUCCUACUUCUUGAUUCUAUUCUAAAUCUAUUCCUAUGAAUAUUGUUUGAGGAAAUAAAAAAGUUAUCAAAUAGAUUUUUGUUGUUCCUUUUUAAUAAUAGAAUAAGAUAUUGUUUGGCACGUUACAAAAUAUGGCCUAAUUUUCCAAUGUGUACACAUUGACUCCAAUGUAAACUAUGGAUUCUUUCUAUUAGCAUUUUAGAAAACUUUUUUAACUUAAAGUCCUUUGCAUUUUCCCAAAAUUUUUCCUCAAAAGUCUAACCAAACGCAUGGGGUUAGAGAAAGCUAGAGGUCGCCCAUCUUCAUUUUGAUUCGAGUGGCCACGCGGUCCAAUAACAAGGAGAAAGUAACAAAGUAUCCUUAAAAGUCCACGGCGAGAUAGUCUUGCUUGAAGGUGACGAUUAGCUUUUCACGCCACCAUUGAAAAUGAGUUUUUUUUUUUUUUUGGUCGGUACCAUUGAAAAUGAGUUAGAAAGUAGAUUCUUGAUUAAUUUUAACGCCUCUUGUGGAAAGAGACUUGUUUCAAUGGGUGGGGAAAGUGAAAAGUUGCCCAUCUUCACUUUGAUUUUUGCAGUCACGCGGUCCAAUUACAAGGUGAACUGACGAAAGGUUUAUGUAAAGAUUUUUGAUUAAUUUUAAUGCCUCUUGUAGAAGGAGACUUUCGUUUCAAUGGGUGGGGAAAGUAAAAAGUUGCCCAUCUUCACUUUGAUUUUUGCAGCCACGCAGUCCAAUUAAAAGGUGAACUGACGAAAGGUUUAUAUAAAUUGCUAAGAGUGUUAAUGGUUCAAUUUGUUUCCAAUUACUAAUAAGUGAGCUGAAUCUAAUCGAAUCGUGACCUAAACUAAAAAUUCAGUUUGGUUCGGUUUGAUCUUUCAGUUUUCCUUUGUAGGCUAUGCUUACUAGAACCAAACUAAAUAAGGGUGAAAAAUGAGAGAUUUUAAGUUGGGCAUUUAAUUUUUGUUGAGAAUUUCUAUUUGGCUUAGUUAACCGAAUCAGAAUAAUCCAAGCAUAAAAAAAGAAUUAUUAUUUUUAUAAUCCGAAUCAAGAACUGAAUUAAAUCGAAAAUACACUAAAUCUCGAUUUAGUUUAGAUUUCGAUUUUGGUUUGGGUUAGAUUCUGGCACCCAUACGAAUUACCAGACGAAAGACGCGCGAUCCACGGCAAAGAUUGCGUGAGAGCAGAAAUAAUUUCCAAUGUGAACGCCUCGCGGAAGUCGUCAAUCGAAAAUGAUGAUCGCGUUGUGGCGAAAAAUAGAAAGAGGGGAUGAUUGCGGGGCUCCUGCGGAGAAGCAACGAAAAUAUCUUCGAAGUCUACGGUGAGGUAGUCUUGUCAAUUUCGAGGAAAGUUUGUUUCGGUGGUCUUUGUCAAGAAGGUGAGGGCGAAAAAGCAGUACAAUUGCCGCGUGAAAAGACGCGCAAUCCUGUCGCGCAAUCCACUCCACAAGAAUGCGCGUCUCCUUUGGGGCAAGAGUGAGAAGUCAAGCAUUACUUAAAGUCCCUAGUGCUUGUGCCUCAGGAGCAUAAACGCCAAUCACCAUAAAUCACUUGAGACGCUCGUUUUUUGUUCUGAGAGAUCUCUGAUCUUGGCAGCUCUAGUUUGAGGCGUGAAGCUGAUCCUCAGAUCGUAUUGUUUUUCGGGAUCCAAGCACAACUUGAUCUGCUUCAAGACAAUUUCUUCUCGAACACGAAAACUCAUCACAGUAAUUCCAUCUUUGCAUCACUCCUCCAAGUAAACUCGACCUUCACUCUCUUGUCCAUUACAAUUGAUAGGUUGAAGAAAAAACAUUUGAUUUUUACUCAUUGCAUAACACCUAGCAUCCUUUAGAGCAUACAAAAUUUUGCAUGUGAGGUUCCUCAACUUUUCCAAAAUCAUCAUCACAUAUAUUGCUAAUUUUUUCUUAGCUCUUCUUAUUCAAACUGAUCGGUAUGAAUGGUUGGAUUGGUUAAACCUGGCUGAAUCGCAUGCUAGCCCUUUACCUCGAUAAUGUUUCAAAACUAAACUCUUUUGGACCAAAAAGUCCAUUCGAUAAAAUUACAAAAAUGCCCUUCUAUACCCAAUUUUGGGUCCAUCGGUCCUAUACAUACCCCAAUUGUAUAAAUUACUUAAAGCCAUGAAACAUCCAAAAUACUUGAUUUUUGCAGGAAUAAUUCCUUUUUUUUUCUUUGAAAAAAGCUAAAGAUUAAAAAUUUUCCAAAUAUCGACAGAUUCUUUUCAAUAAUUGCAUAGAGCCCUUCAAAGGCUACUAAUCACAAUUGUCAACAACAAAUAUUUGUCUGGACAAAUCAUAUCAACUAGAGAAUUUUUGGAUGUCUGGAAAAUAAUCCAUUAUAUUUUUCCGAUUCUUGUAAUUUCUGGAAAAUGACAAAGAAUUCAAAUGUUUUCCAAGAAUUAUGAAAAAUUCACAAUUGUACUAUGUUUUGUGCGAAAACUUGAAAGCGAGCAAAGCUGCUGUCGUAUUGAAAAUUCCUUGCCGUCACUGGACAAGGCCGUCAUUGAUUCCUCUUCAUGUUGCCGAUUUCGCAAUUGAAUUAUGACUCUUAUUUGAAACCACAUGCAUUUUUCACUUUUUCUAUAACCACUGAGUAUUCUAAUUUCUCUUCACAUAUGAGUUUACUUUCUUUUUUUCCUUUCGAACUUGGCAUGCUGCAAUUCAAAAAUGCAAGUGUGGGUAGCAACCACACCUAUCCAUAACAGAACAAGGAAUGUGCAUGAUCGCAAACGCAUCCCCUAGUUCUUUUGUGAGAAACUAAUUAUUUAGCACUUUCAAAACACAUGGAGAAAAUAAAGGAUAUGUUUGUAAAGUUGAUCUCUUUAUAUUGAUGGAAAUUUGAGACAAAAUUAAAGAGGACAAUGGUUUAAACAAAAGACAAAUUAAAAUUGUGAUUUCCAAAUCUAAUAAAUCAACCAUACAAAGAGUCAAAGAAAAACAAAUUGCACAGAUUAUACCUCGCGCACAAAGCGCACGAAAUGGGACUUCGAUGGAGUGCAAAUUUAAGUGAAACCAUAUACCGAGAAAAAUAAAAUAUUGCAAGAAAAAACGUAAAUUGCAUUGAAAAUGUAAAUUUUUAUAAUGAAAUUGUAAAUUGUUUAAUUUUUCCCUUAAUUCUUAAAUUACAUACCACACCAUAACAUCAGAUUUUCCUUCUGAUAAAACAUGCCAUGCACUUUUUGACGAAAACAUAGGCUAAACACACAUUUCCUCGGCCCCUAAACAUAUUUACAGCCAGAUAUCAGAGAUUGCACUCUUGAAAUUAGCGACUAAACUCACUUGGGCCAAAAAAGCAAUUUCAACAAUAUUACGAAAAUGCCCUUCUAGCCUGAUUUUAAGUCCAUGGGCCCAGUUCGCAUCCAAAUGGUCCAAAAUUAUCACAUCAGUUUUGCUGAAUAAAAAAACUUACGAAAAAUUAUUUUUUGUUUCUCUUCAUUUUAGAAAGAUGAUGUAUUAUACUAAAUAAAUAGCAAAGGAUAUUUCACUUUUUGAAUUUGACUUAUGACUAACUUAAUAAUUUUUAAAGAGGGUAAUAGUUCUUGAAUUUUAUUUUCCCUACAUGACUAACUCUUGACUUUUUAGAUUAUUAACACAUUCAACUUCUUUCCUAAAGAAUCUCUCAUAAUGUGUCAAUAGUGUGUAUGUUUUGAGUGGAUAUUUAGUAUUGCCAAAAUAGAGAUAGACCUAAUAGUAAAGGUCACUCAAUCCAUUUACACCAAGGAGUCCAGUCAUUUCUCAACCAUUUAUACCAAUACCUCAUUUCUCAAGUUUGGAAAUAAGUCUUCAUUUAUCAUAUCUCACAGUUGGAAGCAUGAUGCAAAACAUAGCUAUUAAAUUUGGAUGACGUCUUUGCAAAAAGUUUCUACCAAUAGAUUCUUAAACUUUAGAAUGUAAAGUAAUUGGAACAUUUUUGUGGGGCCAAGAAUUAUGGAUGAAUAUGUGAAUUUUAUCAAAUUAGUGAGCCUAAAUAUAAUUUCGGAAAGUUAAGCGGCGCCCCCUCAAGCCCCCUUUAAAUCCACCCAUGUUGUUCGACAUUUUGGAUGUGGCGAGAGAACAACUUAAAAAAGGAGAAAACUAGGGGGAUGGGAAUAUAUGAUACAUAGAGUUAAAUGAGAGGAUAUUAGGGAAACGAAGAGAGAAGAACCAGGAAAUAGACAUAAAUGACACAUUUAGCGAGAAUGGUUCAGGGAGGCUGCCAUUUUUAGUGUAGAGCAAACUAGUUGGGAGAGAGCCAAAUGGCAAAUAUGCUUAGAGAGAGAGUUUACCUUUUCGUCUUUUUAUGCUUUAAAUUUCAAAAUGAAGUUUUAUUUAACGAUUUAACGAUUUAAUUUUCUAUUAAUUAUAUUUGUUUUUGAUCGAUUACGGAUACUUCAUUCUAGAUGUUAUGAAUAUCGGUAAUCAGCACUUGAUAAAGGCAGAUAUAAGGUACGCAUGUGCUUUCGAAUAGCUGCUUAAGUUAAACUACCGAUCAAAGGUAAGGUUGAAGGAAAUAUGACAAAAAACUUAGAUGAUCUGGGUUGAUAUUAGUGGUCCUCACUUAAAACUCACAUUAUGCGAAGGGUGGGGAUGCCUUAGGCUUACAUGCACUUAAGAAUGUCUCAAAAAAUUUAAGCACCACCCAUUUAAUUUUAGUUAGUUUUUACACGUGAGCCAUGUUUAUAUCUUGUAGCCCGCCAAAUUUCCUCCCAUUAGGAGAGUCCCGCUUCUAAAGACCAAGAGGACCCAUUUUCUUUUGGUCCGCGUGCGGACGCAGCUUUUGAUAUUGGAUUAACUAGUAGACACUCGCCUGGGAAGACUCGUUCAUCAAACAUUUUGCAUUGGAACCGUUCAGAAAGCAUGUAUUCUCCAUCCAGAAAGCAUGUGCUUUCGAUCCAGCCUUUUCGUUUGUUUAUGUACAUCUUUUGUGCAGUAAGAAGGCAUCCUCUCUUCAUUUUUGCCUAUCAGACUUCCAUGGAGAAAGGACAAAGUCAGAGUAAGGCAAACAAAAGGAUGCACCGUUUCAAUUUAGGCCGUCCCUUUGCGGUAUUCAAUCAUCUCAAGAAGAAGAAAAACGGUGCAGAGAAAGAGAGCAUUGAGGGAGCAUCCAUUUCUUCCUUUAUCCCUUCGAUACCCACAGGAGGAGGCAGUGAUCAAUAUGACAUAUUCUUGAGCUUUCGAGGCUCGGACACCCGCAAGGGAUUCACUGAUCAUCUCUACUGCAGUCUAAUCAAUGUAGGGACCGUACCAAUUUCCGUGUUCAAGGACGAUAAUAGCCUCGAAAUUGGAAAGGAUUUUGAUUCAGAGAUUCUCGAUAUCAUCACACAGUCUAAGAUUUCGAUUCCUAUUAUUUCCGAAAAUUAUGCUUCGAGCAAAUGGUGCCUCCGUGAGCUAGUUCGUAUCAUGGACUGCAAGAAGAGCAUGUCUUACAUGGUGUUGCCCAUUUUUUACAAAGUGAACCCAUCCGAUGUGCGGUAUCUAAAGGGAAAAUUUGGGGAGGCCUUCCAUAUGCGUGAGAAGCGUUUUGAUGAGAAGGAUAUUCAGGAAGGGAGACAAGCCCUUACAGAAGUGAGUUACUUAAAUGGAUGGGAAUCUGAAAAAUUUGCUAAUGGGUACUUCUCUUCCACCUACACUUUUAUUUUUCGUAAGUUUUUUUAUUCAGCAAAACUGAUGUGAUAUGGAUGAAUUGCUUUCACUACAAGCUCACAAAACAUCCCAGUAUGUGCUAAUGAAUAACCAUAAUGGCCCAAAGACUACAAACCCUUGUACUCUGCUAUUUUUCCCCUGCAAACUACACCACCAACAACUAAAACCUUAGGAUCCCAUACUCAGCCUUCCAAACCUUGAUCGACCCCAGAUAAAUUGACCUCCUAUUGCCAACAGGUGGCUCGGUUGAUGUGAAUACUUCACAUUGACCAUGUCAUAGGUUAAACUUUUGCUGCUUCCAGUAAGCACCAUGGGUAGGCGAUUUAUAAGUUAAUUACAAGUUCCCAUUUAGGGCCCUCGGAUACGCUGGCCUCGGAGGGAUGGCCUCCCCUCCUCCUAAGUCCUAAACUUUUUGUAAUCAAAAUAAUCGACCUCCUAUCCUUCAAUUAGCAGCGACCAUAGGCCUUAUAACAAACAGUUUACUUCUAAAGAUUCUCAAUUUGGUCGGUGCAACACCUUGUCUUAUUUCAAUAAGAUCUAUCUAUUGGUAGAAAAAGAAGGAGAAAAUGAAAUGACUACUACACCAUCAUCCUUCAUUGUUAUUCAUAAAACCGAAACAUUUUGCAUGUUAAUUGGUUCCAUCCAUCCUUCACAUAUAUGUGGGCGUCCUUUGAAGAGAUUACGUGAAACUACGAAAUUAUGAUGAGUUAUUGUUGUUUGACAGGCAUGAAGGAGAAUUAGUGGAAGAAGUCAUCAAAACUAUUAUGAGCAAGUUGAGACAUGAUUUUCAGCUUGAUGUUCCUAAGCAUUUAGUUGGAGUUGGCGAUCAUGUCAACGAAAUUAGGAAUUGGGUUGAUACUCCUGCCAGUCAUGCUCUAAUGAUUGGAAUAUAUGGCAUGGGCGGGAUCGGUAAAACAACUCUUGCCAAGGUCAUCUACAAUGAGCUGUUGAAUGACUUUUUGCAUCGUAGCUUCCUUCCAGAUAUACGAGAGACAACUCACCACAACGGUAUUCUUUAUUUACAAAAUCUACUAAUUAAGGAAAUACUACCCAAUGAACAUCAAGUUUGCAAAGUUGAUGAUGGAAUUAGUUUGAUCAAAUCUAGAUUCAAAGGAAAAAGGGUUCUCAUUCUUCUAGAUGAUGUUGAUCAUCAAGAUCAACUAAAUGCUUUGGCUAGAGAACAUGAUUGGUUUUCGACAGGAAGUAUCAUCAUUGUUACGACUAGAUAUGAAGCUAUUCUUGAUCAACCUGAAUUCCAAGCAGACUACAAGUAUGAACUGAGCGAAUUAGAUGAGGUGCAUUCUUUGCUUUUAUUUAAAAGGCAUGCAUUUCACAUGGGCCAUUGUUCAAAGGACUUUGAGGGUAUCUCACGUGAUAUCUUAUCCACCAUGGGCGGGCUUCCCCUAGCUAUCAAGGUCAUAGGUUCAUACUUGUAUGGGAAAACAAAUGGAAAAGUAUGGCAAGAUAUACUGAAGAAAUUAAGAAACAAACCGGCUAAAGAAGUACAAAAGAUAUUGAUGAUAAGUUAUGAUGCAUUGGAACCUGAACAUAAGAAUAUUUUUCUCGAUAUUGCUUGCUUCUUUAUCGGCGAAGAUAGCAAAUUCGCCAUUUACACGUGGGAGGAUUUUUAUCCAUAUCAAGGAAUUGAAGAGUUGAAGUUGAGGUGCUUAAUUAAAAUUGGAGAUCAUGGUGAGUUUAGGAUGCAUGAUCAACUAAGAGAUCUUGGAAGGAGCAUCUUUUGCCAAGGACAAUCGCUUGAAAGAUGUCUGAAACAAUGGGUUGACCAAGAAGGCUUAACAAUGAAACCGGAAUGUGGGGUAAGAUAUGGCACUCCUUUUUUUCUUUCCCUCUCUCUCAUAAUUUCAUGUUUAAUUUGAUCUAUUCUACUCUUUUACCUAGUGUGAGCAGAUGCUCCUACUUCUUAGGAAAAAGUCUAUUUAUACGUCCAUUCAUGUCCACCAUACAUGAAUUGUGGCCGCAAUUGGAUUAUAUGUGUGCCAAUGAUUAAAAAGUUACACUAUAUAAUCCAAAUUCAUUUGCAUAAAGUACAUUAGUCAAAAAUUUAAUAUACAGUCGAUUCUUUAACUAUGAUUCUAUAGUAAAAAUCUCAUUCACUAAAAGCAUGCACAAUUAUAUCUAGUUGAAAAUAUUGAUAGUUUGAAAGACUAUAAUAAUUAAUAAAGAUGAAGCAUAUACAUCAUAGAUCAUAUAAAUAAAUAUUUUUUUAUUCAAAACAAUAAUGGACAAUAUGUGCCAAUUAUAAUAACUAAUAAUUAAGCAAAUCAGUAACAUUAAAGAAAAAUAUCACAUUUACAACGGGUGCUUACUUUCUAUUACAGUCGAAUGUAAAGAAAAAUAUCAAUGUUUUUUUUUUUUUUUUUUUUUUGGGUCUGGAGGAACCGCUACUACAGCCGGCAGCCGUUCACGAUCAACCCCCAGGCGACGCUUGCGGGGAAACCACCACCCCGACGUCACACUUCAGUCACCAGGAAACAAAGACUGCCCCCUGCUUCGCAGGGGUUUCGAACUUGGUCCUCCUUCGUGGAGAUCCAAGCCCUAUCCAGCCAUGCCACCGCGGUCGGUGGUGAAAAAUAUCAAUGUUUGGUAUGCUUUUUUUCUUUUUUUUCCAUUUUGAUUCAAAAGUACCUGUCCCUUUACUAGUUAUAUCUAUCUCUUUUCAUUCUUCUUUCCUCUUAAUAGAUAUGAUGGCAAAGAAUCUCCUUAAUAAAUAUAUUGGGAGAACCUUACUAUCGUUGUAUCACGUGGACCUUGCUCAUCUUAUGGAUUAGGUUAGGUGUUUUUUUUUUUGGUCCGUUAGGUUAGGUGUUUGACAAUUAAUGGAUUUCCUUAUUCCUCCUUCUUUGCUUCUUUCAUUUCUGUUUUCUUUUUCCUUCGCUUUUCUUAAUAAACAUUUCUUUCCUCGCCAAGCUCUUUUAUAAUAUUUAUAUUUUUGGGACAAUGCCCUUUUGUGCCAAUAGCCACUAGACUAACUUGACUAUUUAGAGGAAAUGUCGUGCUUCUUAUUAAUAUAUUGAUACCUUUUUCUCUACUAUAUACGAUUUUCAGCAUGAAAGUAAGGUCAGUUUUCACUUAGCUUGGUUUGAUAUGCAGGCACGCUAUUGUUUGAAAAACUACGAUACAUACUUUCAAUGGCCUCGUGGCUGUUCCCCUGCAUACACAAGUGAACAAUUUAAAAACUUACUGAGCUCAAGUUCCUUCAAUUGUGCUGGAAGGCUUUAAGUGGAGACUUUAAUGAACUAUUUUCUGAAUUAAGAUGGCUUCGAUGGUUUUACAUUGAACCCAACAUGCUAUCUUCAGCGAUAAAUUUCCAUCUAUCUAAAUUAGUGGUGCUAGAGUUGUCACAAAACAAGCUCGCAGAGGAUUGGAGUGGAUGGAGUUCAAUUAUGGUAAGACGGAAAAAAAAGACAUCCUUCGUGAUCUUUGCUUUGUUUUGUCUUGUCCAUUAAAUUCCUUUUUUGACAUCUUAUCCUCCUUUAUAUAGGUGGCAAAGCGGCUAAAAGUUCUCAACCUUUCAUAUAGCCAGGUUUUAAGAUGUACUCCUGAUUUCUCGACUUUCACAGAGUUGGAGAUUCUAAUCUUGGAUGAAUGUUGCAAACUGGAGCAAGUCCACCCUUCUAUUGGCCAAGUCAAGAGACUUGUUUCCUUGUACUUGAGGAAUUGUCUCAAUCUCAAAGAGCUACCAGAGGAAGUGGGUGAAUUGCAAGAACUAAAAGAACUUCUUUUAGAUGAUACUGGCAUUACAAAAAUUCCUAUGUCAAUUGGUUCUUUGAAGAAGUUGCAAAAGUUGAGUGUCCCACAUUGUUUGUCAUUGGAUGAAAUCCCUCUCUCAAUCAAUAAUCUUUCUUCUCUCGAACACCUUGACCUAAGUAGUUAUUCACCAUUGAGUGAGAUCUCUAGGUCAAAUAGGAAUCUUUCUUCUCUCGAAUGCUUUAACCUCCUUAGCUCAAUCGAGAAUCUUUCUUCUCUUCAACACCUCAACCUCUCUCAAUAUUCGUCAUUGAGAGACAUCCCUAGUUCAAUUGGAAAUCUUUCUUCUCUCCAACACCUCAACCUUUCUCAAUGUUCGUCAUUGAGAGACAUCCCUAGCUCAGUUGUGAAUCUUUCUUCUCAUGAAUGCUUUAACCUCCUUAGUUCAGUUGGGAAUCUUUCUUCUCCCGAAUGCUUUAACCUCCUUAGUUCAGUUGGGAAUCUUUCUUCUCUUCGACACCUCAACCUCUCUCAAUGUUUGUCAUUGAGAGACAUCCCUAGUUCAAUUGGAAAUCUUUCUUCUCUCCAACACCUCAACCUUUCUCAAUGUUCGUCAUUGAGAGACAUCCCUAGCUCAGUUGGGAAUCUUUCUUCUCUCUUACACCUUAACCUCUCUCAUUGUUCAUCAUUGAGAGAAAUCCCUAACUCAAUUGGGAAUCUUUCUUCUCUCCAAUACCUUAAUCUCUCUCAUUGUUCGUCACUAAGAGAAAUCCCUACCUCAAUUGGGGAUUUACACAAAUUGCAACAUCUGAACAUUGAUAAUCCUUUGAUUAAAGAGAUCUCCGAUGCCAUUGGAAGGUUUAAAGAACUGCGGAGGAUAAUUAUUAUAUCCCAUGAUAGUCGGGGAAUUGGAUUUGUCUAUUGCUCUCAUUCGCUUAGUAAAAUCAUUGACAUGUCCUUAUCUACUAUGCCCGAUUGCAAGGAUAAAUCUUUUCUUCAGAACCUCCUUUCCCAACGCUUUAAGGUGCUUCGAUGGAUGCCAAAGCAUCCUUUUGGUUUAACAUAUCUUCAAUACAAUUUCGCAAUUCCCAAAUUCCUACAACUUUCUUGUCUAAUCGACCUAGAAGAACUUCAUCUUUAUGCAUGCGAUCAACUUGAGAGCAUCCAGGGGCUUCCUUCAAGGCUCUUGAAAUUUUGUGUUGACUCAUGUCCAAACCUGAUAUUACCUGAGCUUGGCAGAUUCAAGUACUUGGAAGAGUUGUCGAUAAGACGCUGCUAUUUCAUUAAAAGAAUGGACCUGUCACAAUGGAAUCGCUUGAAAGAAUUGGACAUUCAGGAUUGCAAUAAUCUAGUUGAAAUUCAAGGCCAUGGAGAAUUAGAGUUCUUGGAGACGAUAAAUAUAUAUAGCUGCAUGUCAAUUGAAAGGUUGAUCCUUCCGAAAUUACAGUGUUUGAAGCGACUACAUGCUUGCUCUUGCAACAAUCUAGUUGAAAUACGAGGUCUUGAUAAGGCAGAGUUGUUAGAGGCAUUAGAUAUUUCCAAUUGUGGGUCCAUUGAAAGAUUACCUAAAUUAGGAUGCUUUGCGACCUUGAAAGAGUUGAACAUUAAUGGGUGUCACCAUCUACAUGGUGUUGAGAGUCUCGAGAGAUUCUCAUCUUGCCGAAGUAUAUUUAUUAAGGAUUGUGAAACCUAGAAAAACUACCAAACUUGUCGAAAUUUGAAAAUUUAGAGAGUUUCAUAAUCUUGGGUUUAAUCCAGCUUAGGGAGAUUCUUGGGAUUGGGGAAUCAAGAUCGCUAACAAAAGUAUCAAUCAUAAAAUGUCAAUCCUUGGAGACUUUGCCAGAUUUGUCAGGAUGUGAGAAGUUACGAUAUGUAAGGGUAGUAACAUGUGACAAACUUACUCAACUUUGGGGACUUGAAAAGUUGGAUUUGACUCUUUUGGAAAUUUAUGGGUGCCAGCAUGUACCAGAAUUAUUUAAAACAUGCAACGGGAGAUAUGAAUAUGAAUAUGAAUGCUUUUGUAUUCCCGAGGUAAUUAAUUUGCAGUGAUAAUAAUGUGAUGAACUUUAUACCAAUAUUACAAGAGCAGGCUAGUCAUGUUUCCUUGACAGAGGUAAAUAAGCAGCAAACUACCAUUUUUCUUUGAGUUUCAUGACCUAUUUUUCAUCAUUAUCUUCUUUUGACAAUAAGGUUUUCCUUGACAGGGUUUUGUUCUUCCUAAGUUCCUAGACUUAAUAACUUGAAGGAAUGGUGGAGUUGGUCGUAGAAGCUGACAUGAUGCUUCAGCCAAGAUCAAAAUUUAGAUCCAAUGGUGCUUCCUCGUUCAUUAGAAGGCAUUGGUCAUUUGGUAAGAUUCUUCAUCCUUUAACUAGCAUGAGUGAAUAGAGUAAUACUUUUGUCAAGGAUAUAUCCUUUAAGAAUUAUUUGCUUGACACUGCGUAUCUCAGCGAUAUUGCCUAAAUCUUUUGUUGUAAAUUCCAUGACAAUAGUCUUUUUUUAGCUAUCCUUCCAUUGGCAACUUUUGUAGACAGAUUGGCGGCUUGUGAGGCAACAAAUGAAAAUAUCGACAUAUGUAAAAUAAUUACUUAGCGAUUUACAGCUCCCCUCUCAAUAAAACAGGUAUUUCAAUUUUUUAUCUAGAGGGCGACGAUCUUCCGCUACUCAAUAUUGUAAACUGCACCCAGGUCCGCUUUUUCACUCUGUCUUAAACUAGUAUUUCCUUUAACAAAUCCUUGUUUGAACUCAUUUUGUCAGCUCUUCAACAGGUCAAAUUUGACCGAUGGUAGUUAUCUUGUUAAGAGCAAACACCUCUCGAUUUUUCGUGAUAAUAGGAAAGCUUGUCAAGGCUCUUCUCAUUCGCUUGAGCAUGAAUUCCCAGUAAGGAAAAGAAACUGAGCUAAAAUAACAAUCAAAUUUCAAGUUUUUCUGGUGGAUGAUGGAAAAGGAAAUGAAAAGUAAUUUUGGCUAGUCUGUUUCGUAAAUGAUUGGAGACAGGCUCUCUAUAACCGAUUGUCAUACUGCCGUUUGAUGAUCAAGCAAGGUAAACUGGUGCUGCUUUUGGGACAAACCUGGCUUUCUGUUUAAUGAUCAAGGCUUACGUUUGUACUUUGAUUCGAAGAGCCGUACUGAUGACCUUUUGCAUAAUUGGGAUGAUUUAUUUGCCCGUUUCAUAAAACAAGUUGGGCAAGGAGCUUAAGAUUUUGUUAAUUCGUUUGCACGCUGAUUGAUCCUGUUGUUGUUGUGGAAUCAUUUUAUCACGUGAUUGAUCUGGGUUUGGCUAACUUGGCUGAGGAAAUUCAAAUUCCGUACCAGAGAACGAUCAAAAUGAAGAGGAAUUUUGCCGAGGAAUCAUCAACAGUAGCUGAAGGCUUUUGUGCCCACCUUGAAGAGGCUUACGGGCCAACUGGAGUGUAUUGGUAAAAAAUUUAUGCUUGUGAAGAUCAAAGUACUUGAUCUGGUCUCAACUGUUAGACUAUUCAUAUAAAACUUGAUGCGGAAAUUCAUAACAAAUCAAUGAUCUUUGAUCUUCAUGAUUUUCACAAAUAGAUUCAGACAAACCUUUAUCCAUAGCGCUACGCUUGAUGAUGAUCGUUGUAGAAAACCCAAUGAUCUCGAACCAAAAUGAAGAAAUCCAAUUUCUCUCCCUUAACCCACUAAACUUUAAUGUAUUCAAUUGAUGGAGGAGAGAAUACGUUCCUUUUGGUUACUGUUGUUCGUAUGUGGGUGGAGAGAGGACCGGACUCUUUUAUACGUUCGUUGAAAAGGUGCCUUCCAUCAAUGCGAUAUACCCUUUCGUUUUAUUAGAGUCGUACCUUCUCAUAACCAAUAUUAUUUAUAGCAUUUCAAUCAUUAUUAAACCAUAUAAUAAAUCACAUAAUAUGGGCCACAAUAAUUCUUACAUUCUCCCACUUGGCCCAUAUGAUUCUCCUUUCAUGGUUUAAUGAAGACCAUAAUGUGCACAAUAAGAUUAUGCUAUAAAAUUUCAUUAAAUUGGCAAUCACAUAAUAGUCACAAUUAAGUAAAGAAAACUAACGUGAGUCAUAGCGGUUAUAUGUCAUUAAUCGACAUAGUCCCUUCUAUGUACUACAACUAUAGCACUUUACUUAACAUGAUCCAUAAAUGAGAAGUACAGUAAUAGUCCAACCAUAAUGUUUCUUUAGAAACUAUCCCGUUUAAUAUUCAUAUAUAAUGUAUACUAAAUAGAAAACAGGAAAUAUCAUAAACAUGUAAGUGAGCUCAAAGUGUCAAAUACAUAAACUUAAUAUAAUCAUAAUACAAACAUUAAUGACGUCCAAUAAUGCCCAUCCUUUCAACAUGCUCAUUAAAUUUUUUGGGCAGCAAUCCUUUUGUCAAGGGAUCUGCUAUCAUAAGAUUGGUGCUAAUGUGCUCAAUUGACACUCUUUGUUUUUGAACUUCUUCUUUGACAGACAAGUAUUUGAUCUCCAUAUGCUUAGCACCCUUAGAAUACUUGUCGUUCUUAGAGAAGAAAACUGUUGCAGAGUUAUCACAAUAGAUUUUCAGCGGCUUGGCAAUACUGUCGAUGAUCACAAGCCCUGAAAUAAAAUUCUGCAGCCAUAAUCCAUGAAUUGUGGCCUCAAAGCAUGCCACAAAUUCAGCUUCCAUAGUGGAUGCAGCAAUAACUGACUGCUUCGCACUCUUCCAUGAAAUUGCCCCUCCAGCCAGAAGAAACAAGUAACCAAAUGUUGAUUUUCUUGUAUCGACACAUCCGGCUAAGUCUGAAUCUGAAUAUCCAAUCACCUCGAGAUGAUCAGAUCUUUUAUAAGUGAGCAUAUGAUUCUUCGUUCCUUGCAAGUAUCUAAGAACUUUCUUUGCAGCUUUCCAAUGAUCCAUUCCAGGAUUACUUUGAUACCUACCCAGCAUUCCGACAACAAAACUGAUGUCUGGUCUGGUGCAAGUUUGUGCAUACAUUAAGCUUCCCACAAUAGAUGCAUAAGGAAUAUUAUUCAUUUGUCCUCGUUCCAAUUCACUUUUCGGACAUUGCAUAAGGCUAAAUUUAUCACCUUUCUGAAUUGGAACUAUUCCUGCUGAACAUUUACUCAUAUUAAAUCUCUCUAAAAUUUUAUCAAUGUAGGCUUUCUGAGACAAUCCUAAUCAUCGUUGUGAUCUAUCACGGAAUAUUUAUAUUCCUAUCACAUAUGUUGCCUCUCCCAUAUCCUUCAUUUCAAAAUUCUUAGAGAGAAAUUUCUUGGUUUUAUGUAACAAACCAAGAUCAUUAGCAGCAAGCAAAAUAUCAUCAACAUACAGAACUAGAAAAAUAAACUUGCUCCCACUAAUCUUCAUAUAUAUACACUGAUCAACGGUGUUUUUCUUAAAUCUAAAUGAAGUUAUGGUAUCGUUAAACUUAAGAUACCAUUGUCGGGAAGCUUGUUUAAGUCCAUAUAUUGACUUCUUUAAUUUACAUACCAUGUGUUCCUUUCCUAUAACUGCAAAGCCUUCAGGUUGGUCCAUAUAAACCUCUUCCUCUAAAUUCCCAUUAAGAAAGGCGGUUUUUACAUCCAUUUGGUGUAACUCCAAGUCAUAAUAAGCCACCAAAGCCAUAAUGAUUCUAAGUGAGUCCUUCUUAGAGACUGGUGAAAAUGUCUCUUUAUAGUCAAUGCCUUCUUUCUGAGUAAAACCCUUUGCAAUAAGUCUGGCUUUAUGUCGUUCAAUAUUGCCUUUUGAGUCGCGUUUGGUCUUAAAGACCCAUUUACACCCGACCUUCUUACAUCCUUUAGGCAAUUCAACUAUAUCCCAAACUUGAUUUUGAUGCAUGGAUUUUAACUCUUCUUCCAUGGCAUUAAACCAUUCAUUAGAAUCUUCACAUUCCAUGGCUUGGGAAAAUGAAUCUGGAUCAUUUCCAAUUCCUAAGUCAAUUUCUGACUCUUGUAGAUAAACCAUAUAGUCAUCAGAAAUAGCCGACCUCUUUUCUCUUUGAGAUAUCCUUAAUGCUAUUUCUUGUGACUCGGCUACUGGAGGUUCAUUAUUGACAUCUCCAUUAUUGAGUGUUUGUUGUUCUCGAUUAUUAUUAGAUUGUACUACAAUAUCAUAAACAACAACUUUAGAAGCUUUAGGCAUAGGAACUUCUACCCUUACUUCUUGAAUGCAAGCAUCACGCAUUCUUUCACUCCCACUGAUGUCACCAUUCUCAAUGAACCUAGCAUUUCCAGAUUCAACAAUUCUUGUACUAUGAUUAGGACAAUAAAAUUUAUACCCUUUGGAUUUCUCUGCAUAACCAAUGAAAUAACCACUGGUCCUUCUUGAAUCUAAUUUCCUUUCAUGUGGAUUGUAAAUUCUUACUUCUGCUUGACAACCCCAAACAUGCAGGUGUCGUAAACUAGGUUUCCUUCCCGUCCACAGUUCAAAUGGAGUUUUUGGAACUGCCUUACUAGGAACUCUAUUUAAUAAAUACAUAGAAGUCUUUAAAGCAUACAUCCACAAAGAUAAGGGUAAAGAUGAAUGACUCAUCAUACUCCUAACCAUUUCCAUUAAAGUACGGUUACGCCUUUCUGCUACACAAUUUUGUUGUGGUGUACCUAGCAUUGUGUAUUGAGCACAAAUGUCAUGUCUUUCAAGGAAUUUAGCAAAUGGACCUGGACAUUGUCCUGAUUCAUCAUAUUUUCCAUAAUAUUCACUACCUCUAUCCGAUCUUACUAUUUUCACCUUUCUAUCUAAUUGCCUCUCAACCUCUUUAAUAUACACUUCAAGUGCAUUCACUGAUUGAGACUUAUCAUGCUAUAGAUAAAUGUAACCAUAACGUGAAAAAUCAUCAAUAAAGGUUAUGAAAGAGCUUUUCUUACCAAAAGAUGGAACGUCGAAAGGACCACAUAUGUCAGUAUGUAUAAUCUCAAGAAGCUCUGUGCUUCUUGUGGCACAUUUCUUAGUGUGCUUUGUUUGUUUACCUUUAAUACAAUCAAUACACACUCCAAGGUCAGUAAAAUCCAAAUUUAUUCUUCACUAAUCUUUGCAUUCUUCUUUGGAUAUAUGACCCAGCCGUUUAUGCCACAAGUAAGCAGAAUUUUCAUUCACCAAACUUCGUUUAGUGCCAACAUUAUGAUGCAAGGUCAUUAAUGUCUCAACAAAAGUAUUAUCAAGUCUAAAUUUGUAGAGACCAUCACAUAAAGUUCCAGUUCCAAUAAGAGUAUCACUCUUAAAUAGACUGAAAGAUUUAGAUCCAAACUUACAAUAAAAUCCCGCCACAUCAAGUCUUGGUAAAGAAACUAAAUUGCGAGAAAAUGUAGGUACAUAAAGGGUUCGAAACAAAUCCAAAUAAUGCCCAGUAUCUAAGAUCAAACGAUAAGUGCCAAUGCCUUCAACUGGAGCUUUGUUUCUGUUCCCCGUAAUCACAUAACUUUCAUUUGGCUUUAUAGUUUGGAUCGUAAGAAAUCCUUGCAUCGUAUUUGACACAUGAGUGGUGGCACCAGAAUCAAUCCACCAAGUAUUAUAAGGAACUUCAGUAAAGUUUGAUUCAAAACAUACCAAAGCACAAGGCUUACCUUUCUUUUCGAACCAAGCCUUACAUUUCAGACAAUCUUUCUUCAAGUGUCCAAUUUUGUUGCAAAAAUGACACUUAAUAAGAUUGCGUUCCUUCUUGUGGAUUUAAGAAGCCUUUGAAGAGUCAUUCAGGACGUGUAGUCCUUUCUUCUUGCUCCUUCCACAUUUCCUCUUAAAAUUCUUUCGAACUUCUUGAUAACUUGAGAGAUGAACAGAAUGAGUCUUUUGAUUCUUUAUCCUUGUUUCCUCUUGAACUAGCAUACUGGCCAAUUCGUUUACAUUCCACUUGUCCUUUAUAGUGUUGUAAUUCAUUUGAAAUGGCCCAUAUUGCUCAUGAGGUAAGGAAUUAAGUAUAAAUUGUACUAAAAAGUACUCAUCCACAUUCAUUCCCAAAGUCCUUAACUUUGCUGCUAAAUUGGUCAUCUCAAGUAUAUGCUCAUGCAUGGUACGCGAACCAUCAUAUUUCAUGGUGGUCAGUGUGCUCAUCAGUGUACCAGCAAGUGACUUAUCAGCAGUUUGAGAACGUUCUUCCACAAAUUUCAUAAAUUCCUUAGCAUUAUUAGUCUUGGGAAGAGAAGUCUUUAAGUUGUUUGCAACUGUCAUUCGCAUGAACAUUAAGUUCAAUCUGUUUGAUCUUUCCCAAGCUUUAUGGAAAGACUUUUCAUCAUUGCUACUUUCAUCAGUAAUAGCAGCUGGUUUCUCAGCUUGAAGUGCUAAAUCAAGAUCCAGGACACCUAAGUGAAACUGGACUUGUUCACUCCAAUCAGGAAAAUUUAUCCCAUUGAAUAAGGGAACAGAUGAGGCAUGCGAAUGGAGUGAAACAGAUACAGAUACUGCAAAUGUGCAAGAAAAUACUCAUACAUUAAUGCUUUGAGAAUAUCAUAUAAUCAGAUUAAACUAAACUACACAUGCACAUCAUAGUUCUCUUUUGGGCGAUCCUAUGAUAUACAAAUAUAUAUAAACCAUAAUGAUGCUAAUAACUUUUAUUUGAUAAUUGUAAAUAUAUCUUAUUAAAAUUUAUUUGUUAUCUUUGGAUAUACAAACAAAUUUAACAAAUCAUAUUAAUUAUCAACCAUCAUGUUCAUGAAUUAUAAGAAAAUAAUUAACCUUUGGGUUAAUCCCUAAGUUCUUAUAAUAAAUGAACUUCAAUAUACCCAUAACUCCAAUAAUGAUAUAAAACAUAUCAAUUUCAUAUAUAGCAUCACUUAAUCAUGGGUAAUUGAAUAAAAUAAUUUACAAUAUCAAAAAAAUUCAAAAGACUUCAAGGUUCGGCCACUUUGGUGACUAACAAACCAUUCAUAAUAUGAAUUUUCAAUAUUGUAAAAUACAAAUAUUUACCAAAUUUGCACACAAGGAUAAAACGCAAUUAAAGCAUAAGGGCAAAAUUGUAAAAUCAUAAUUUCAUAAGGGCAGAAUCAUAAAUUAAUAUCUAGGGGCAAAAUGGUAAAUAAUCAGCAAUGGCAGAAUUGUAAUUAUUAAUUAAACAGGGGCAUAACAAUAAAUAAAUUGCGAGAAGGACAAAAUUGGAAUUUUAAAAAUGGCAUAGGGGCAAAAACGUAAAUAAGGCCGCACGGGGACGUCAGGUGCGUGCCUCGCACGCGCGCGUCUAACGCGCGGGAAGCCCCGCGCGCGUGGAUCCCAUGCGCGCAGUGCUUGCUUGCUUGCUCGUGAAGGCGCGUGGCGCGUGGGUUCCACGCGCCUGCAACCGCAGCGUGCGCGUGGAGCCCCACGCGCCUUCUUCCUCGCGCACAGACGCGAUUCUUCGCCGUUUUUCGCCAUUCCGCCGCGGUUUCGCCGGCCGUUUCUUCUCCGGCAGCCCAUCCCAGACACAAUCACAUGCGUCCAAGUUUCGGAGAAAAUGACCAAAAAAUUUGCCCCAAAUCAAACGAAAAAUUCUCAGAACACAAAACUUCCACCACCACCGCUUCCGCCACUUGAUUAGCCUCCGGCGAACACCGAUAUACCGGAAAAAUCAUGGCUAAUGUUCCUCAUGACAGUGCGACGGUGUGGGUCCGAAAUCAAGCGGUGGGUUGCCGGAUUUUACCCGGAACCAGCGAGUUUCUUCCUUGCCCUCAAAAUUCCGAAUUCCUCCAUUUUUGUCCUUUUCCACUCGUGCACACAAGUAACUUUUCUUCACCAUUUUAGUCCAUGAAAAAACGUUCCAUCAUUCGGAUUUUCUUUAACAGAACCUUCCAAAACAUUUCAACAACAACAAAUGCUACGAACAGGAUCGUUCAACAAAUCAUCAAACAUCAACUAUAAUAUUUCUUUAAACGGAAAAAUCAUGAGAUCAUAAACCAAACGCUCUGAUACCAACUGUUAGACAAUUCAUAUAAAACUUGAUGCGGAAAUUCAUAACAAAUCAAUGAUCUUUGAUCUUCAUGAUUUUCACAAAUAGAUUCAGACAAACCUUUAUCCAUAGCGCUACACUUGAUGAUGAUCGUUGUAGAAAACCCAAUGAUCUCGAACCAAAAUGAAGAAAUCCAAUUUCUCUCCCUUAACCCACUAAACUUUAAUGUAUUCAAUUGAUGGAGGAGAGAAUACGUUCCUUUUGGUUACUGUUGUUCGUAUGUGGGUGGAGAGAGGACCGGACUCUUUUAUACGUUCGUUGAAAAGGUGCCUUCCAUCAAUGCGAUAUACCCUUUCGUUUUAUUAGAGUCGUACCUUCUCAUAACCAAUAUUAUUUAUAGCAUUUCAAUCAUUAUUAAACCAUAUAAUAAAUCACAUAAUAUGGGCCACAAUAAUUCUUACAUCAACAGCAUGUACUUGAAUAAUUGGGAUUGUAUUUUUUUUCAAUAAAAUCUGCUUUUUGUAUGCUCAUUAGGUUCUACCUCUAUUAAUUAAAUACACGUGCUGAUUUUUCUGCAUGUUACCCUGAUGCAGAGUUCUUUGAUGCGACUGCGUUCUAAUGAUAUCAUUCCCAAACUCAUUCAGGCUCUGCAAAUAGAGGUAACACUGCCAAUCCUCCCAUAACUGUGAGAGAGUAAGUUGUGUGCUUAUACUUAAUUGAAUGUGCUUUUUUGUAAGCUUGUUAGGCUCUGCCUCUCUGUUAAUCAAAUACGUACUUGCUGAUUUUCUGCAUGUUACCUUGAUGCAGAGUUGUUGGAUGCGGUUGCUUCUAAUAAUAUCAUUCCUGAACUUAAUUGGGCUCUGCAAAGGAAGGUAUGUAGUGCCGGUCAUACCAUAACAAUGAAAGAUUAACUUGUGUGCUUUAAACUGUAUUCAAUGUGCUUUCUUUAUGCUCAUUAGGUUCCACCUCUCUGUUAAUUAAAUACAUAUCUGCUAUUUUUUCUGCAGGUUACCCCGAUGCAGAGUUCUUUGGUAAAAGCUGAAAGAAGAAGAGAAGCUCUCUUGUGCCAAACAGCAUUUUCUGGUCAUGUUCGAUGAAGUUAUUCGAAAGUCCUUGCUCAUGAAAUUUUACGGUCUGAUCUCACUUUCUAGCCAAAACAGCACUUUUCACUAUACGUGUUCAAUUAAUUUUAUAGGAGCCAUUGGUGAUGACCCAGGAAAAAGGAAAUGAAGCGGAACAUCAAGAAGGUGGUGUUUGCGCCAUUUUUCCUAUUUCCUAGUUAGUAAUGCAAUUGGAAGAGAAUCUUCAAAGUUCUGGCAUAAUAGAAGGAUUGGUGAGGAUUGCAGCUACCUGUGCUACUGGGACCAUCUCAUGUGGACUCUAAUGCCACCUCCUCUAUGGUAUACCGGUAUGAUGACUAGUUCAUGAAAUAUUUGAUAUAAUGCCAACGUGCUAAUUUCCAAGUCCGCUCUGUUUAUGCAACAGUAUAAGCUAGCACAUGUUCAUUUUUCUCUCAUAUAAGCAGCAUCACAAAGUGUGGACUUCCAAUUCCCAAGGAGAUGAAGGUUUGUCUUUUUUUCUUUGCAGGGGUUUAUACCAAUAAAUUGUCGAUACUAGACACCAAGGAUCCAAGCAAUAACUGCCAAUGCUCUUUGCAAUAACUGCCAAUGAUCGUGGUGUACAUGAUCACAUCUAGCUCCCAGCCUUCGUCUUCCAAAUUCUUCAGCAAUCGAAUGGCUUUCCUGGUAUGGCCGGUUCUUGACAAUCCCUCAUCAUGGCUCGGCAUGUGGUUAUAUCUACCUUAUCAAAGUGUUAAAGCUCACGGUUGUUGGUUCUAGUGCAAGUUUGACUAUUUAACAUCAAAACUGAGAAACCGAGAUCGGACCUCUUCAAUUGGCGGAGGUGAUUCAUCAAAAUGCUGCGAGUAAAAACAUUGGGCGAAGUUCCUUCCAAACCCAUCCUCUCGGUCAUGUCAAUGGUGAUGGCGCAAUGACUAUUUUACUAAAGACACGUUAGAUAGAAAUUAUUACUAUGAAAACAUAGAAUAACUUCAAAAGUACCGCUGUUCCUAGGAGAAGACAACGUCAAGACCCAUUCUAAGACACCAAUUCAGCCACAGCUCCAUGAAACAGCAAGACCCAACAACGUUCCCACGCCGCGACUAUCCAUAACCGUCGCGGGUACAGUUAAAAAACGACUCUUUUCCAUUCAUUUUCAUGUUUCCCCUCCUGCCCAUAUAUCCCACCGUCCGAACCGCCCGUACCUUGAAAGCUGCUGUAACAAACAUCGACGCCCGGGAUCGUGCGCGCCAUGUAGUAGUCGAUCGACACGAUCCGGACGCUGAAAAUCGCGGGGUCCUUCGCCGGACCCGACGCCGCUGUACUGGGCUGCGAACCUUCUUCCUCCGUCCGGAGGAGCGGCGGCUCCUCCAUCUGCGGAAACCUUCCCAGGACCCUCGCUGGGGAAAAGCGCCGGAACCUAAUGCGCGGUUAGCCCGAAAGUGGAUCACCGACGAGAGCUCGGAGGCGCUUGCUGGUGUUUAACCGACCGCGCGAAAGUCAAGAGCGUCUUCUCCAAUCUCUUUCCAUUUUUUUCCCUAUCGCUUGCGCUCGUGCAGUGCAGUAACGGAACCCCGGAACAGGAAAAUGGACCGAGAAAACUCUUUUUUGGGCCGAUGAAUUAUUAUAAGUUACACUGUCAAAUAUAAUGAUAGAUUCCGACCAAAAAAAAAUUUAACGAUAGAUUCGGCCAAAAAAUAUUUAAUGAAAACCAAUUUUUAAUCUAGAUACUACGAAAUUGAUAAAACCAAUAUUCGACUAGAGCUAUUAUCAACUUAGCAACCAAAUUAUGAUUUUAUAUGCCUUCAAAUCAAUCAAAGGGAUAAGUGUACUGGAAAAACUAAAAUUUGUCACGAAAAUACAAUCAAAUUCUACAACUUUUAAAAGUUACAAUCAAAUUCUAAAACUUAUCAAGUCUUAAAAUGGAUUAAUAAUUUUUAACAUGAAUUAAAAUUUGUGUAUCGCUCGAAUUAAACCUAGCUCAUAACUGAAUAAAAAAAAAAUUGUGUGUCACUCGAAUUAAGAUUUGUCACUUCAUAUAAGAAUUUAAUCUUCUUCAUAUAAGAAUUAAUGAGAUUAACAUGUGGAUAAAAGCUUUACGAAUAAACAUCUAUAAAUUAUUAAAACAAUUGAUAAUUUUGGAACAAUCAAACAGACCCUAGUAUUUUUAUUUUAUUUUUAUAAAAGUGCAGGUACAAACACGUCACAAAGCCAAAUAAGUGGCGAAUCACCAUUUUAACUAACCGUUUUAUAAAAGUUACUGAAAUUUUUUUUGAUCUUAUUCAUAUGGAACAUUGAAAUUGUCCUGGUUACUUAGGAUGCGUAUGAUAACAUUUCUCAUAAAUAGUUUCUUUUGAAAGACACUUUUUUUCUAUUUUUGUUCCCGGGAGCAGUUUCUAAAUAUUUCAAGGCAUUUGAUAACUACUACAAAAUUUAUGUUCCUAAAAAAGAAAUGCAUUCGAUAUGACCCGAAAUAUGUUUUUGACUUAAAAUUUUUUGUAAUUUAUUAAUAAUUUUUUUCCUUAUCCUUGCUCUAGCCAUGGAGAGCCUCGCCGACCACCAGUGAGAUCCUCGAGCCUCACCAUAGCUAGGUGAGGCUCAACCUCACCUUGGCUACCGCACCCAACUAUUGCGAGGUCGACAUUGCCCGUGUAGGUGAGGCCAACCUCAUGGUGGUUAGGCGAAGUGAAGCCUCACGGGGCCAUCGCGAGGCUUGUCGACCACUCAGUGAGGCUCGAGGGAGCCUCGCCCAGCCACAGCGAGGCUCGAGAGGGGGCUAGGCAUGGUCUGGCCAAUCACCAACCAUUGUUUCUGGAGUUAUUCCUGAAAACAAAAAACAACUUUAUUUUAUUUUUUAUUUUUUAUUUCAAUUCAAUUUCCGGGAAAAAAAAUUAUCAAAUGCAUUUUCGUUCUAAUUCCGUUCUAAUUUUGUUCAUUAGAGAAACAGAUGUUCCCAAAGCAUUGCCAAACAACACCUUGGUCAGACACGAUGCUCCUAAAUUCCAAUGGCUUCUUCAAGAAGCUUCUUUAGCAACCGCAGUCCCCGGAUUCUAAAGAUUCAGUCCACCCAUAGUUACAUCUACAAGUUCAGCUGCAGGUGUAUCAACACCUCGGACAAUUUGCUAAAGCAUUAGUCGAUCCGCACAUAAAUUACUCCGUAAAUACAUUAGUCAGUCCACGCAUAAGUAAAUCAUAUGCUCCAUUUCUUUGCAAAUGGCUAAACAUAUAUGUAGGUUGAUCACUUGAUCAGAGAAUCGUACAAGCGCCACCACCCUUUUCCUCAUGGACACUGUAUUUUCAUGUGAAAUGCAUAUUACGAGUGCAUUUAUACAAUGGUGUAUCAACAGAGUGAUGGGGAAACAAGUUCAUCGACAGUUGGAGUUGAACCAAGAAUGCAAAGAAACAGACAGCUCGGAGGAAUUGAAGAAUGGCACGCAUGAAGAAAUAGGUUCAAUUCCAGUCCCAGGCUUCAAGCUGCCUUCACCACUCAUUUCACCUUAUUAAAGGGGCCAUCUGUCUCUCCCACCUAAGGUCUUCCGAAAAUUCUGAGAGCGCAGCCCUUGGGUCACCAUCGGAGAUAGACAAGUAGUACUGACAGUCCCGUCAUCAACCAGCAUGCUCCUCCUAAGCGAGUCAAGUAUUCUCUUCUUCCCCUGUUCAGAGGUUGUCCUCUUCAACAAAGAACUUAUCUCUAUGUCUCGCACAGCUUCUGGAUAGAACACGGCGACUUCCCUCUUUGCAUGGUUAUGUCGCUCUAUGUAGCAUGUGGAAUCGAUAAGAAUGUCAGGGUUGCUUAUGGGGAUUAACAAUCUCUCCCUCGAAUAUAUGCCAUGGUCACUCAUCAUGUUGUUUAAGCACUUUAUGUCCAUGACCUGAGAGUACCCAAAAAAUAUUAUUUCAAGGAUGUAAUAUUCGGUGUAGACAGGGACAAAAAGGACACGCAUGAAAAAAAACUUCUAACCGGGGAAGGAGAAAAAAAUUCAGGGAAGCCAUUCUAAAAGUAAGUCUCUACCAAUAGUUAUCAAAACAUUGAACCCAGAGAGAUCUGAGUUGACAUUCAUAGACCACAUGAUAUAUCAUUAUUGACUCUUCAGGGAUCAUUAUGACUACAAACAUGGAAAAGUUCCUUAAAAAGACAUGUUCAUUUCCUAAUUGCACAAACAAUUUAUGUUAUAGUCUCAAAAUUUGAGGUUCACGUUCAACCAUUUUGAUGAACGAUACCACCACUGCAGAAUCAUCCACUAUUUCUAUGUCAGUGUUAUUAAGUCAGAGCAACUAUCAUGACAAUCACAAAAGUGCAUUGCCCAUCAUUUCAUACUGAUGACUAUCAUUUAGCCAUUUAGCCUCGUGUGUUCUGGCAACUAAGAGAUUAUGAUUAUCUUUUAAGAUAAUCUAUAUAUAGUCGUCAAUCAAGCAUAUCUUUUUGCUAUUAGUAACCAGAGAUGCUUCUUGCUUGAAAAACUUAAGAAAACUUUACCACAUGAAGAAAUUUCAUAAUGUUUUACAUGAAGAGGACCCUAUGCUCCUAAGACAUAACAUUUUUGUCCAAGCCCCAACCUUCCUCCAUACCUCCAGAAGAAACCGCGACAGUGACUUCCAAGUGUAACCGUUUCCUUUUCCAUCUUUAUAAUUUAGGCUUCACUAAAAGAUGAAGUCACUCCAAAAUUACAAAAUUCGUAUGUCAAUUAGUCUGGCCUUCUUCAAUGGGAAUAAAUCUAUAAGAUUUGCAGUAGUGAAUUCCAUUGAGCAUCUAUCCUACCGCCUAUUUGGUACAAUAUAGAGCAACAGCGUACAAUUAUAACUAACCCCACUCAAUGGGAUAAAUCUGUCAUUAACGUUGAAGUCAUUCAACCGCCAGCCUGCACAAAGAAGCUAUGAACAUCAUCAAAUGAUAUGUACACUGUGUAGCAUCUUGUCAACAUUUUUCUUCUCCUAGUAAAUUCCCCAAGCUAACUUUUAUCAAAGAGGCCAGAACCCAAGCGAAUGGAGGUAUAAAAGAGCCAUGCUCGAAAUUGAACAAAACUAUGUACUUAGACAAUCCUGCACCAAUCAACAGAGCUAUCCAACUUUGGCUGUUAUAAUGGAGGAAUGACAGAAUGCUCCUUUAAGGAGAAAAGCCCCUGCAAAGACCUGAUAAUUGUCGCUAGCUGUACAGCAUUCCUCAACCAACAAGUCCUUAGCAUUCUUCGGGAUUCGCCAUUUUAGCAAUCAAACUCAGGAUCAAAAAUUCGUAUAUUAUGGAAAAGCACCUAACCCAUCCCCACCCAUCCUCUCAGCGCCAAUGAAUAACCAAAUAGACAACCUAUCUGCAGAAGAAAACCAGAUGGAUUCCAAGCCAUGAGCAAAGCAAACCCACCAGAAAUUCCAUGAAAAUUCACAAUAAGGCUCCCAGCUUCCGUCCACUUCACUCAAACGGCCCCACCCACGUCUAACGCCAGCUACACAUGACCACAUGCAGAACAAACCUUCUUCGUAAAGUUUCAAAAGCUGUAGCCGUACACGCCACUUUAGCUAACUUUUAAAUGAAAUCGCAAUCCAUCUGUUCUUUGGAAUCAGCUGAAAGUGAAUCUCUAUCGAAAAUGCAACACCAAAGCAUGUCAUUUGCUAAUGUCAAACGAACCUACUUAGAUCACAUGUAAAAAAUUUCAUGACGUUUUUAUAAGUUUGAUUAUAUUUAGCUUUUUGGUGGAAAAAUAUAUAUUCUUUUUUACAUUUUGAAUAAUAUGAACAGAACAGCUUUUGAAAAAUUUGGGUCAAUAUGAACUAAAGAAUUUCAAAUGUUACAUUUCGCAGAGACUUACAAAGGCAUGAUAAAAAGAUAAAUUGCUAAAACUUAAAUGGAAAAUCGAAUAUAUUCAUUAUAUCAUUGGUAAUCUUUUUAAGUACUUGUAAAAUUUCGAAGAAGUUGGUGAUUUGCUAAUUUGAUUUGAUAUGUCGAAGCCAAGAAAAAAAGGUGGAGCGAGGGCCAUUUCUGCGAUCCCGUGCUUUUGCGCACGAUAACUUUGUCAUGUUUCUCCUUAGCCGUUGGAUUCAAGUGGUUUAAUAUCAGCCGUUCGAUUAAUAUGUGUUGUCAGCGUUUCUUCCUUUGUUUAUCGCCUACUUCAAUUUUUCUUCCACCGUUCCCUUCUUUCCAAACAACAUACAUUAAUAAAAAUUUUAAUCAGUGCAUUAACAUUGUCGCAGUUUUUUUAUUUAAGCUGGUUUUUAUAGAAUGACACAUAUUCAAUUUUUAUUUUUAGCAUGUAGAUAUAUUUCAUAAAUAGUUUAUGCUCCCAUUUUGAGAUUAUCUAUGUUAUAAAAAAAAAAAAAGCGUACAUUGACUAUGUAUGCAAUAUAUAUUCUCUUCCAAGGGCUUUUAUUUUAUUUUUCACAAAUAGGCUUUAGAUAAUUUUUUUUGGCACAAAUAAUUAAGAUUUAUUUUCUCUCUUGCUUUAUUUUGUACAAUGGCGAUAUAAUUUUUUUUUUUUUUUGGUGAUGUUUAUCACCUACCGAGUGGCCGUGACUUCAAUAUUUAUUAACUUGUGUAUUGACUUCUUGCUGGCCGAUGACCCCGCUUGCAAUGAUUUUAAGCAGCCAGCCCAUCUUUUAUUUAAGAAUGGUAUCGGGAGCAUAAGCAUUUAGCAAAAGACAAGUAAUCAUCUUUUGUUUAAGAAUGAUAUUGGGGAGAAUGCACAUUUUCAUUAUUUUUUAAUAAAAAACAUUUGUUCGUUCCAGCGGUCUCUGACAUGAGUUGCAUCCAUCAUGUGCAUUCACAUGUUAGAUUUGUAAAUUUUCUCCUCUCUUCUUGCUUUAUAAUUUUUUUAAAUAAAAAAAGGGAUAUACCUAAAGUGAAUGCACUUUUUUAUUAUUUUUUAAUAAAAAACAUUUGUUCGUUUUAGCGGUCUCUGACAUGAGUUGCAUCGAUCAUGUGCAUUCACAUGUUAGAUUUGUAAAUUUUCUCCUCUCUUUUUGCUUUAUAAUUUUUUUAAAUAAAAAAAGGGAUAUACCUAAAGUGAAUGCAAAUUUUUAUUAUUUUUUAAUAAAAAACAUUUGUUCAUUCCAUCGGUCCCUAACAUGAGUUGCAUCGAUCAUGUGCAUUCACAUGUUAGAUUUGUAAAUUUUCUCCUCUCUUCUUGCUUUAUAAUUUUUUUUAAAUAAAAAAAGGGAUAUACCUAAAGUGAAUGCACAUUUUUAUUAUUUUUUAAUAAAAAACAUUUGUUCGUUCCAGCGAUCUCUCACAUGAGUUGCAUCGAUCAUGUGCAUUCACAUCUUAGAUUUGUAAAUUUUCUCCUCUCUUUUUGCUUUAUAAUUUUUUUAAAUAAAAAAAGGGUUAUACCUAAAGUGGCUGACCAUCUAUACGUUUGUCAAUUUUUCAGCACCAUCCAUAUGUUUGCUUUUACCAUAAGUUAAUUGUGAACAAAAAACUAUUAAACUUAAGUGACUUGAUAAUUCUAGUUCUGAUUUAAUUAAGGAUUGAAGUGUACAUAUAUGUCUAUGUUUAUAUGGAUGUAGAUGUAUUUAAUACUGUAUCAUGUCUAUAUGGAGAGUCAAGUGUUGGUCAUCGGUUCAUAAACAGAUGAUAAAAGAGUCACUUUUUUCUUGAGCCACCAGAAAAGGCUAGCAUGGCUUGAAUACUUUACAUUAGAAAAAAAGAAGGAAAGAGACCCCUUCAAUUAUUUGGUUGUUAUGAUUAUAAGUAGCCCAUAUUUUGCCUUUAGCAAAGAAAAAACAAAAAGAGUAGCCCAUCUUUUAUUUAAGAAUGAUAUUUGGGAGCAUGCGCAUGUUACCGUUGUUUUGUCAAAGAUCUGAAUAAAAGUUCAUUAACAGUGAAUAAUAUUUGUUUUUCAGCCCACUUGUGACUUUAUUAUGUGCGUUCACAUGCCAAAUUUGAAAAUUUUCUUCUCUCAUUUUAUUUAAAAUAGUUGAUCAUUUGUACGUUGUCUAUUAUUUUUACGGGAUAUACUGGGAAUAUCCCAGCCAAUAAGCUUGCCAAUACAAGUAGUGGCAAUCCACUAAUGUUCCUAUCAAUGUAGGACAAUCCACUAAUGUUCUAAAAUAAACUUAUUGACAUUAUAAGGUAACGGAGCUAGGACUAUACGGGCGCCUUAUAUGUAUAUCAUCGGGAAACGCAUGAAUUGACUACUCAGGGGAUAUGAUCUAUCUUCGUCGACCAUAAUGGCUUGAUUCAAGCUAUUAAUAUAUAGCGAAACCCUUUCUUGUCUUAGUUCAUGGUUAUCGAUGGCCUCUUUUUCUAUUGGAAGGGAGCUAGAGUUGAUCAAGACCAAGAUCAAGAUCAAGAUCAACUUCGGACUAGCCAUUUACUGCAUGGUGAACUGCGUAAAUAAAAGUGACGAUCAGAAUAAGGGAAUUCGCGGGGAUUGAAGUGAUUCUCCUGCCCUUGGUUCGAGUCCAACUUGUGACAAGGCCCCUAUAUGGCUAUAAAAAAAAAGGACUUUCUUCUUCAAAAUACAUUAAGGGAAAAUGACAUGGAUCCUAAAGACGGAGUGGGCAAUCCAGUCUUACACCUUGUUCCAUUCCAAAAGUCUGCCUUGUGGCAAAUAAGAAGGUGGUAAGGAGACGACACGUGUCCUCGUGAGGCCCACAAUCAAUGAGGAGAAAAUGAGGCGUCAUUUAGCUACAGCAGAAGGGACGCUAGAGUUUUUUCUUCGAGUUCUCUUUCUUUGCGCCUCUCUCUCUACCCUCCCUUUCUCUCCGACGAACAGGAUUGCGACCUCCCUCUCUCUCUGCCCUCCCUCUUUCCGACAGGCGAACCAACACGAGCAACCGACGGACCACCGCGUGGGAUCGGCAAGAGGACCGCGAGCAACCGACGAACCACCGCACGGGACCGGCGAGAGGACCCCGACCUCCCUCUCUCUCUCUGGCCUCCCUCUUUCCAACCGGCGAACCACAGCGCCGUCCCACCGGCUCUAGAUCCGGCCUUGACUCGUCCGUCCCUUGCUCUUUCUCUCCCCUCGCGUCUCUGUCUGCCCUCCCUCUUCUCGACGGUGAAGCGCGUGACCGGCGAACCAAUAUUUUCUCCUUGCGGAGAAGCAACGAAAAUAUCUUUGAAGUCUACAGCCAGGUAGUCUUACCAAUUUCAAGGAAGGAAGGUUUGUUUCGGUGGUCUUGGUAAAAAAGGUGAGGGCAAAAAAGCAGCACAAUUGCCUCGUGAAAAGACGCGCAAUCUUGUCGCGCAAUCCUCUCCACAAGAUUGCGUGUCUCCUUCGGAGCAAGAGGUUCGAAGUAAGUCACUUGAGACACUGGUCUUUCGCUCUCAGAUAUCUGGCUUUGAUAGCUCUAGAUUGAGGCGUGGAGGUGGUCUCAGAAUUGUGCUGCUUUUGAGACUCGGACACGACUUGGAUGUGCUUUAAGGUAACUCCUUUUUAGACAUUAAAGCCCAUCCGAGUAAUUCUGUCUCUGCAUUACUUUUCUAGAUGAGCCGGAUAGUCUAUUACAUUUUGAUAGAACAAAAUAAAAACAUUUGAUUAUUACUCAUUGCAUGACAUCUAACAUCCUUAAAAAAGCAUGCACAAUAUAACAUGUGAAAUUCCAUCGGCUUUUUCAAAAUCACAGUCGUCACAUUUAUUGCAGAUUUUUCUGACUACGUUCCCCUUAUUCAAACUGAUCAGUAUGAGCGGUUGGACUAGUUAAACCUGGUGGAAUUUGAUAGCUCUCUCUCUCUCUCUCUCAUAUUUCUCACUUUCUGCAUCUUUUACAUCUGGCCUCUCUUGCAGAACAAUUCAAGGUUAUCAUCUACAGUCCGCACUCGCUUUCCUUGUUCAUUUCCCUCUUGAAAGUUCUCGCCGAGGCUUGUUUAGCGUCUUCUCUCUAGGAUCUCGCACCUCUUUUCGUAUCUCAGCUCGCGGAAGGUAAUCGUUUUGUCAUCUCUUAUUACUCUGUCAUUUUUGUUGAUUUGUUGCGGCUGAACUAGUGUGUUUUGGGCUCUUUUUCUCUAACGGGGUGGCUGCUACCGGGGUUGGAAUGCGAGCGCGCUGUCUCUCCGUUAAAUAAAAUGUGGCCUCUCUGUCUCAUCGUUCGUUUGUGUUGGGUAUGACUGAUUCCCGAAAUACCGGAUUCGACACUAAAUCAAACCCCUAAACUCAAGCGGAAGACAAGCCCGGGAAAACGAACACGUAUCACCGAUCCUAAAGCACACCACAGAUUCGAGCGUACCUUUUAGCCACAGAUUAAACACCGACGCCAAUGGAGGAAGAGAAAUCUUGGUCCUGUUGAUCCAGUGAAGCAAAAACGCCUUCGGGAGUCACUGUUUCCCUUUUGGAGGAAAACGACAGAGAGUGGGAGGGAGAGAAGCGUACGUCGUUUCUUUUAAUUAAACGGUACCUUUUCUCUCUCUCUCUCUCCUCCCUUUUAUACCCCAUUCUUUCCACGGGCCCUAUUCCCGUGGGCCGGGCUUUCUGGGCCCAACUUGGGCGGACGGGCCUUAAGCCCAAAUCAAAUAAAGUCUUUAUCUCCCACUCGCACAUGGUGGGCCGAACAGGAUUCUCUUUACCUCUCUUCAACUUUCAAACCGGUGAAUAAUCCGUGCGACUAGCAUACUUUGAGAGCUCGUUGCUAUACAUCUGUUAGGAAUAUGUAGCAGCUCAUAAUUGGGCGUCACACUUUGAGUAGAUUUAGUAUGCAGUACCCUAGAUCGAUUGAUCACAUUUAUAUCUCCCUUGAUCUCUUUUAAACAUGAUAUAUAUAUAUAUAUAUAUAUAUAUUGUAUUCACAAUUAUAAUUAUCACAAAGACACUCAUAAUUGGUCGACCAGUGAAUACAAAACCACAAUGUGAUUCUCCGAAAUCGAUCUUCUUCUUUCCUUCAAACUCUCAAUUUCAGUCCAGCUUGCUUUUCUAGAAAUGCCCCAUUAGAUCGAAUCAUCUCAUGACCAUUGGCAACACCCUAAGAUAGCAAACACUAAAUAGAAAUCUUGAGAAUAAGUAAGAGUCAUGAGGGGACUUAAAAAAAAAUUGAGGAACUCUCUUCUUCAAGAGUCUCACACAUCAUAAAAGUUGAGAUCAAACUUUUUGCCACUCUUAUUGGUUGUCUCAUGCAUACGUAGUAUGAAAUACGUAUUACGGUAUUAACUCAUUUCCCAUGGAGCGUAUGUCUACACCUUUCAAUACCGUACAGAUGAUAGUUCAGACAUACCCAAUGUCUAACUUGAGUUCACGUAUCUACUCUUUUUACAAAAUUCAUCAGAACUCACAUCUGGCAUCUUAGAUAGAUAAAGUAAAAUAUGUGGGGUAUUUUACUUUCGGACAUAGUAAGUAUCAUGUCCUCAUCUUAACACUCAGUUAAGGCAACAUACGUAUUUUAAGCUUGAGCUCUCGAUUAUCACCUAGAUAAUAAGCUUAAAAACAGUCUCAUCUCUAUUUAUCACACAGUAAAUAGAGGCGAUUACCCGUGUGAGUGGGCUAAUCUUAUAUCUGUCCGACAUACUUCUCAACAAAAAAUAAUGCACUGAGCAUUAAGAUGCAUAAUGAUCAUACAAAGAUUCAUAGGCAUUAAUAAUAAGACAACACAAGUUCAUUGAUGUGAACAACUCAGGGAAAUUACAAUAUCCAGUACAUCAAACUCUACGCAAUCCUAGAGAUUUUACAUGACCACAAAACACAUCUCUAGGUAUUGGCUUUGUCAUAGGAUCUGCUACCAUUCUAUGUGUAGAUAUGUACUGUAAGUUCACAUCCUUUCGUGCAACCAUAUCUUUCACAAAGUUAUACUUGGUAUCUAUAUGUUUGUUAUUGCCAUGAUACUUUGGAUCUUUGGUGUAUGCUAUAGCUGCUUGGCUAUCACAGUUAACCAACAAUGGAUUUGCAGCUUUCUCAUUAACACAUAAAUGAUCCAAAAAUCUCUUAAGCCAAACUCCUUCUUGUACCGCUGCUGAUAAUGCCACGAACUCAGUUUUCAUCGUGGACAAGGCUAUACACUUUUGUUUCUUACUGCUCCAACACAUGGUGCCAUUAUUCGGUAAGAGAACAAACCUAGAGGUAGAUUUCCUUACAUUUAAAUCUCCUCCCCAAUCAACAUCAGAAUAGCCUUAGAGUCGCAGAUCCUUUCCAUAAUAACUCAACAUAUAAUCAGCAGUCCACUUUAGAUACCUCAGUAUUCUCUUAACGGCUUUCCAACGUGCUUGACCUGGAUUGGAUUGGUAUCUACUCACCAUUCCAACUACAUAACAUAUGUCAGGUCUUGUACACAUCAUAGCAUACAUCAAGCUCUUUACAGCACUAGCAUAAGGAACAUGUUUCAUUUGUUCCUUCUCUUGUGGAGUCCUUGGACACAGUUUAUGGCUCAAUCCUUCACCUUUUGCAAUAGGAGUGUCAAUGGGUUUACAAUCCCAUAUCAUUCAAUUCAAAAAAUUUGGAAGACAACCAACUUUUGACAGUAUUGACUAGCUCCAUAUUGCUUCCGGCAAUUAGUAUAUCAUCAACAUAGAAUGAUAUGAUCACAAAUUGAUCCUUGGAUCUUUUGAUAUAUACACAAUGAUCCUCAUCAAUCAUCGUAAAAUCAUAUGCCAUUAUGACAUUAUGAAAACGUAUAUACCAUUUUCUUGAUGACUGCUUAAGACCAUAUAUCGACCUCAAAAGUCGACAUACUUUUUCUUCUUAGCCUUUCACUAUGAAACCAACAGGUUGUUCCAUAUAUAUCUCUUCCUCUAAUUCUCCAUUGAGGAAAGCAGUCUUUACAUCCAUUUGAUGUAAUUCAAGAUCCAGACUAGCCACUAUUGCCAGAAUAAUGCGAAUUGAGGUAAAUCUCACUACAGGAGAAAACGUAUCUUCAUAAUCAAUUCCUUCCUGUUGAUUAUACCCCUUCGCCACAAGGCGAGCCUUAUGCCUUUCAAUCGAGCCAUCGGCCUUUCGCUUUAUUUUGAGAACCCAUUUGUUCCCAAUAGCUUUGCGUCCUUUUGGAAGAUCAACCAGUUCCCAGACUUGGUUUGAUUUCAUUGACUCAAUUUCCUCUUCCAUUGCAUUAAUCCAUUUUUCCUUACUAGGGCAAUUCAGAGCCUCAUUAAUAUUUCUUGGCUCAUCCUCAUCUUGUGGAGCAACCAUAAAAGUUUCCCCUUCAAUGUCAAAACGUCGACGGGGAAUACUUUGACGACUUGUUCGCCGUAUGGGAGAUUGUACACUUUGCACAUCAUCCCCCAUCAUGCUCCCACUUGGAUUAAGUAAUGAUGAUGUCGUCUCAUUACGUGGUUGCAAUUGAGAAUAAGUUGAAUUUAAUUCAUCACUUCUCAUAUUACUCCCACUGGGACGAAGUCCACUAAGGUCAUUAUCUUGAUCCAAGGUUUCAAAUAGGGAACAAUCUUCCCCUAUUUCGCCCUUCUUAGGAAACUCAUCCUCUAAGAAUGUGACAUCUCGUGAUUCAAAUUCAGUUAUACUCCCACUUUCCUGCUCACCAAUGAACACAUACCCAUUCGAGUGUUCCGAGUAUCUUAUGAAAAUACUCUUCUUUCCUUUGGGACCCAAUUUCCCAAACUUAUGAGAGGACUCAUGUGUAUAGGCAGCACAACCCCAUGGCUUAAGAAAACUCAAGUCCGGUUUUCUACCUGUCCAUAACUCAUAUGGAGUGGAAGUAACUGAUUUGGAAGGCACCCGGUUAAGUAUAUGCGCAGCAGUUAACAAUGCAUCACUCCAAAAGGUGAUAAACAAGUUAGCAUGCGCCAUUAUGGACCUAACCAUUUCUAGUAGAGUUCUGUUUCUUCUCUCCGCAACACCAUUUUGUUGAGGAGUAUAUGGAAUAGACAACUGUAUUUCUAUUCCUUUUCACCACAUAAUUUUCUGAACUUAUCAGAUAAAUAUUCUCGAUCUCGAUCAGAUCUAAAUACUUUUAUUUUCUUGUCUAAUUGAUUCUCUACUAGGUUCAUAAACCUUUUGAAACAACUUAUUGCUUCAGAUUUAUGAGAAAUCAAAUAGACAUAUCCGAAUCGAGUAUAAUCAUCUAUAAAAGUGAUGAAAUAAAUAGCCCAUUGCCUUCCUCUCACAUUCAUUGGACCACAGACAUCAGAAUGGAUUAAAUGCAGAGGAAAUUCAGCUCUUUUACCUUCUCCAAAUGGUUUCCUUGUCGUUUUCCCUUCUAGGCAAUGCUUACAUAUAAGCAAAUCGACUUUUUCAAUAUUGCCUAACAAGCCCUCUUUGGCUAGUCUUUUUAUAUGUUGUUGGCCAAUGUGACCAAGUCUAGCAUGCCACACAUUCACAUCAUUAUUAUAUGAAUUAGGAGACGUGAUAAGGGAAUAACUAACAUUUGCAUUGACAUACUCAAUAUCUAAUACAAUGAAACCAUCCAGAAAAUAACCACAACCAUAGUAGUUUAUAUCCAAAUACAAAUCUACACCUUUAUUAUGGAAGUUCAUAUUAAAACCUAGUCUAACCAACACUAAAACAAACACUAAAUUCCGAUGAAUCUCCGGAGCAUACAAUACAUCAUGAAGGAACAAAGUGCGUCCACCACGCAUAUUGAGUUGGCAUGUGCCAAUUCCUUUCACUUCAGCUCUGGAGUUGUUUCCCACAUAGAUCCAUUUAGUUCCAGUUGGCACUCGUCGGAAUUCCAUGAAGGAUCCUCUAUCCUUCGCUACAUGGUCCGUCGCUCCUGAAUCUACAGUCCACAAAGGAUUAGACUCAGUCAAGAAUACAGAACUCGACACAUAAGUAAAGUUCUGAAAAGUACAAGGGGUGUUUACCUUCUUUGGCUCACGACAAUUGCGAGCAUAGUGACCCUUCUGGUCACAAUUGUAACACUUCACCCUUGACUUUUUCUUCACUUGAGGACGUUUUCCUCUCUUGUGUUGGUUAACUUUUGAUUUCUUGCAACAAGGACUUGAUCCUUUGCAAUCCCACAUAUUGAACGAAUCAAUACGCUUGCGCUUAGAGCUCAAAGCCCUUUCUGAGCUAGAACCAGCAUUGUAAAUGUCUACUUUUGACUCAAAUGCCGUUAGACGGUCCUCUAUUAGCUCAAGGUGGCGCAUAGCAUCCUCAAGAUCUUCCAUAAUAUGGUCAAGAGCUUCUAGUGCUUCUUGCUUUUCCAGCACAUAUUGGACUUUAAUGUGCCAAAUUUCAUAAUUGUCACCAUUGAGCUUUUCACCUUUGUUCAGCUCGGCAACUAUGCUCUUUGUGGCUGAAGUCAUUGAUCUGAACACAUCAGACAUAUGCACGAAUUAUUAAUGCCUAUCAUUUAUGCAUCCCUUUUUUUUUACAUAGACCCAUCACAUUAAUGAAUAAUUUCAAGUAAGGUUUCAGAAUCAAAAGGUCACUAUGUUUCCAAUCAUCCUCCAAAAUCCUAACUUAAAACUAUCAUCAAUAUAAUUGUCUUAUGCAAAAUCAAUUCUAUGAAGCUACAAAAACUUCUAAAAUUAUCCACAGCUAAUUACCCACAGCAACCAGCAAUAACAGAAAGCAAUAUAUAAUAGAACAUCCAAUAAAAACAAUAAUGCUUUCAAUUAACACAAUUAGGUAGUAAUCAUUACAUAAUAUGUCCACAAAUCACACUUAACAUAUAUCAGCCAAUACAACUAACACCAAGUCAGCACACGAACUGGGAAAGAUCUUAUUUUGUUAAAUUUCUUGAUCUUUUCCCUUGAAACAAUACAAUAAUAUUCAUUUACAAAAUCCAUCACAAUUUUCUUAUAGGAAGUAGCUCCGUUGACAUCCCAUAUGCGAUUCAACACAUCUUGCCAUUCAGGUGGAAGAGUGUUUAUGAAAAAUCGCACCAUCUCUGACUGUGACAUAGGACGACCAUUCCAUAUCACCUGUUGAAUUUUCCCGUUGACUUCAAGGACAUGAUCAAUUAAGUCACCUCUCUCCCAUCGAUGAUCAGUCAGCUCAGCUAUCAACUUAGACAGCCUAUCCUUUUGUUCAACGGUAAUUACGCGAGUAGGUGUGCGCAACCUCAAGAGAGGCAUUGUUCCUGCAACAAAUGCAGAACAAAUAAGGGAUCACAUUAUAAUCCACAUAGACUUGAUUCAAAAAGAAACAUAUUCCUUCUUUUCUUUUUUUUGUCCGGGUCAACGGUCAACGGUCAAAGUCAACGGCCGUCGGUCAACGGUGGUCAACGGUCAACGGUCGUCAGAUCGGACGGACCGGUCGGGCCGGUCAGGCCGAUAGGCCCGGUUCGCGCGAACUGACGGCACGUGCCGUGAGCGUGCACGGGUUGACGUCACGCAGACGUCAGGUGGCAUGUGCCGCGCGCGUGCCGAGUCUCGCGCGGGUCGAGUCGGGUCGCCGGUCGGGUCGCUGGCCGGCGAUAACGUCGCCGUGCUGACAUCAUCGAUGACAUCACCCUAGUGGUUAGUGACCGUUUGGUGACGUCAUGAUGACGUCAGCACGCGUCGGUCUGCGGACUGGCGCGUGCCGGUUCGUUGCCCGGCGGAGAGCACGCGCCGGUUCACUACCCGGCGGCAAGCACGCGCCGGUUCGCCGACCGGCGCGUGUUUCGCACGCUCUAGCGAGCCAGCGCUGCCGGGCGCGUGCGGCAUCUCCCGGCGGCGCACGACGUACCUCCAGACUCGUCUUGACGUCUCCUUUCUCCCCAUGUAUCCAGAAAACUAUUUCGACUUACGAAAACUCAGAAAAAUGGCCGAAGAAUGCUCGGGUGUCAGGAUUUCUCGCCCUGAUUCGUACGGCCGUAUUGCUUUUGCGAAAAAUCAAUCAAAAACAUCAAAACAAAUCGGGAAAACGUGAAACCUGGCUCUGAUACCAAUGUUGGGUAUGACUGAUCCCUGAAAUACCGAAUUCGACACUAAAUCGAACCCCUAAACUCAAGCGAAAGACAAGCCCGGGAAAACGAACACGUAUCACCGAUCCUAAAGUACACCACAGAUUCGAGCGUACCUUUUAGCCACAGAUUAAACACCGACGCCAAUGGAGGAAGAGAAAUCUUGGUCCUGUUGAUCCGGUGAAGCAAAAACGCCUUCGGGAGUCACUGUUUCCCUUUUGGAGGAAAACGACAGAGAGUGGGAGGGAGAGAAGCGUACGUCGUUUCUUUUAAUUAAACGGUACCUUUUUUCUCUCUCUCUCUCCUCCCUUUUAUACCCCAUUCUUUCCACGGGCCCUAUUCUCGUGGGCCAGGCUUUCUGGGCCCAACUUGGGCGGACGGGCCUUAAGCCCAAAUCAAAUAAAGUCUUCAGUUUGCAUCGUAAUUCAGCGUCGAUCCUUUGCUAAGAUAGAAAGAGUUGGAAUGCGAGCGUGCUAAAUUCUAUUGCGCGCAAAAUUGCUACUAUUCACCUCAAGCCAAGGACCGUCUUUUCAUGAAUCGUGAGGUUUCUUUGUCUCUGAUGGUGUAAGAUCAAUUAAAUAAAAAAUGACAUAGAAAAGAAAAAAUAAUAGGCCGGUUCAUGGCAAGAUCCAAGAUCAAGGGGGUUCAAUUUUCAAUUCCGAAAAUUGAGAACAUGCUAUGAUAGGUGGGUUUCAGGGUUUUGGUCUAGAAUCUACACACUCUGUAGCCACUCACCCAUAAAAGCAAGUACUCUCUUAAUCAGAUUUUAUUCACAAUUUUGCCUUAGACAAUUAUAGGACAUUCUAGACAAAUAAUAUGUUGUCUUCCUCGAAUUAUUGGACUAUAUAAUCCUAAAAAGUAUAUUGCCUUUCACCUCUAACUCAUUUUCUUCCUUCAAAGUUUUGAAAAUUGACGAAAUUAGUUACCCAAAAAAGGGUAAAAAGAGGUUGAAUUGAGUAAUGAAAAAGUAUAGUUCACAUGCAUAAACAACAAUAGCUAUUAUGCGAAGGUCAGAGCAUUUUUAACUCUAUUUUCACUUUCUCGAACAAAAAAAUCUCCGUUGCUACUUUUUGCCUGCUCUCAAAUCAGUGAUAGCCUGAGUCAUCAUCACAGUACAAGACAUACCAAAAUCCAUAGUAUGAUGCUUCUUAAGAUCUUUUAUGUUAGAGAAAAAUAAACUAAUUGAUCUUUAACGUAUACACAGGAAAAUUAGGACACUCACUUAGCUUUAUAUCGCUCAUAUCUUUCACCUUUUUGCUACAGACUAUAAGUUCAUUCCUUAAAAUGUUAUUAAUCAAUUUAAUCUGACUUAUUACGAAUUUAGCCUAUAAUCCUAUUCUACGUCCAUUUAAUUGGAUUAAAAAAACUUUGCAAUGAUAUUCUCAACGUGGGCCCUCGAGGAAAAAGGGGGCACGCACUGAAGGCCAUUCUUUUCAAACCUUGGUCCUCUCUGAAUUUUCCUCAGCAGUUUCCCUUUAUUUUCUUCUCUUCUGCUUCUCCUUCGAUCAAAUCAUGACCUAAUUUCAAGUUGUUCAGACUAGGGCAAAGUCAUUGCAAGGCAAACAAAGGGAUGCACCGUACCGCUUCCGGUCGUUCCUUUGCUAUGCUCGUUGCACUGAUUCUUUUCUCUAUGCUUGUAUUCUAUCAUCUCAAGAGGAAGAAUGUGAGUGCAGAAAAAGGGAGCACUAAGGAGCAUUCGCUUCUUCUUUGGUGUCAUCUAACAAAUAAUAGUUCUAUUCUACAGAUAAAAUGUCGAUCAAUUAUUUAAAUUUCAAAGUUUGAAGAGAAUAACUCAGUAAUGUCAUAUCAGUUGAAGUGGAUUUGUUUUGCAUGACAUUGCUAAUACGUAAGGUCAGCGGGUAACAAAUAUAAGAGAAAUAACAAGACCUUUUGUUCAUCUCUGUCUCAUUUCCAAAUUCAUUUAGAAUAUGACAAUUUGAAAUUAAAAUGUAGAUCACAUUCCUAAUCACNNNNNNNNNNNNNNNNNNNNNNNNNNNNNNNNNNNNNNNNNNNNNNNNNNNNNNNNNNNNNNNNNNNNNNNNNNNNNNNNNNNNNNNNNNNNNNNNNNNNNNNNNNNNNNNNNNNNNNNNNNNNNNNNNNNNNNNNNNNNNNNNNNNNNNNNNNNNNNNNNNNNNNNNNNNNNNNNNNNNNNNNNNNNNNNNNNNNNNNNNNNNNNNNNNNNNNNNNNNNNNNNNNNNNNNNNNNNNNNNNNNNNNNNNNNNNNNNNNNNNNNNNNNNNNNNNNNNNNNNNNNNNNNNNNNNNNNNNNNNNNNNNNNNNNNNNNNNNNNNNNNNNNNNNNNNNNNNNNNNNNNNNNNNNNNNNNNNNNNNNNNNNNNNNNNNNNNNNNNNNNNNNNNNNNNNNNNNNNNNNNNNNNNNNNNNNNNNNNNNNNNNNNNNNNNNNNNNNNNNNNNNNNNNNNNNNNNNNNNNNNNNNNNNNNNNNNNNNNNNNNNNNNNNNNNNNNNNNNNNNNNNNNNNNNNNNNNNNNNNNNNNNNNNNNNNNNNNNNNNNNNNNNNNNNNNNNNNNNNNNNNNNNNNNNNNNNNNNNNNNNNNNNNNNNNNNNNNNNNNNNNNNNNNNNNNNNNNNNNNNNNNNNNNNNNNNNNNNNNNNNNNNNNNNNNNNNNNNNNNNNNNNNNNNNNNNNNNNNNNNNNNNNNNNNNNNNNNNNNNNNNNNNNNNNNNNNNNNNNNNNNNNNNNNNNNNNNNNNNNNNNNNNNNNNNNNNNNNNNNNNNNNNNNNNNNNNNNNNNNNNNNNNNNNNNNNNNNNNNNNNNNNNNNNNNNNNNNNNNNNNNNNNNNNNNNNNNNNNNNNNNNNNNNNNNNNNNNNNNNNNNNNNNNNNNNNNNNNNNNNNNNNNNNNNNNNNNNNNNNNNNNNNNNNNNNNNNNNNNNNNNNNNNNNNNNNNNNNNNNNNNNNNNNNNNNNNNNNNNNNNNNNNNNNNNNNNNNNNNNNNNNNNNNNNNNNNNNNNNNNNNNNNNNNNNNNNNNNNNNNNNNNNNNNNNNNNNNNNNNNNNNNNNNNNNNNNNNNNNNNNNNNNNNNNNNNNNNNNNNNNNNNNNNNNNNNNNNNNNNNNNNNNNNNNNNNNNNNNNNNNNNNNNNNNNNNNNNNNNNNNNNNNNNNNNNNNNNNNNNNNNNNNNNNNNNNNNNNNNNNNNNNNNNNNNNNNNNNNNNNNNNNNNNNNNNNNNNNNNNNNNNNNNNNNNNNNNNNNNNNNNNNNNNNNNNNNNNNNNNNNNNNNNNNNNNNNNNNNNNNNNNNNNNNNNNNNNNNNNNNNNNNNNNNNNNNNNNNNNNNNNNNNNNNNNNNNNNNNNNNNNNNNNNNNNNNNNNNNNNNNNNNNNNNNNNNNNNNNNNNNNNNNNNNNNNNNNNNNNNNNNNNNNNNNNNNNNNNNNGUAGAGAUGAAGAUUAGCCAUUCUCUUCUUGUCCAUGAGUGGAGACAACCCAAUGAUGUUGCCUUGACGAGAGGGCGCGGUCCAUUGGAAAGAAAAGAUGCACGCCUAAGUCAAUAGCUUUCACUAUUCAAUUAGUCAACAGACUGACUUGAUCAUUAAACAUUUUGGAUUCGAAAUCGUUCAGAAAUCAUAUGCUCUCCUCCCAAAAAGCACGGGUGCUGCCUUUUCAUUUACUUAUCUACUUCUUCUUGUGCAGCAGGUUGGCAUCCUCUCUUCAUUUUUGUCUAUAAGAUUUCUAUGGGGCAAGGGCAAAGUCUGAGGGAGAAAAAGAGAAGGAUUGCUGAGAGAGAGAUUACUCAUGGAGCAUCUGCUCCUUCGUCCUUACCUUCCAUACCCAUUGGAGGAGGUAGUGAUCGAUACGAUGUGUUCUUGAGUUUUAGAGGCUCCGACACUCGCAACGAAUUCACUGAUCACCUCUACCGCAGUCUGAUCAGUGUAGGCACUGUACCAAUUUCUGUGUUCAGGGAUGAUAACAGCCUUGAAAUUGGCAAGGAUUUUAAUUCAGAGAUUCUCAAUGCCAUCACGCGAUCUAAGAUUUCGAUCCCCAUCAUCUCUGAAAAUUAUGCUUCGAGCAAAUGGUGUCUCCGUGAGCUAGUACGCAUCAUGGACUGCCAGAAGAGAAUGUCGCACAUAGUGUUGCCCAUAUUUUACAAAGUGCUCCCAUCGGAUGUGCGGUAUCUAAAUGGAAAUUUUGGGGAGGCCUUCCGUUCACGUAAGAAGCGUUUUGAUAAGGAGGACAUUCAGAAAGGUCAAGGAGCCCUUACAGAAGUGAGUAAACUAAGUGGAUGGGAAUCUGAGAAAUUUGCUAAUGGGUACUUACCUUUUGCCUCCACUUUUUCCCCCUAAGCAUUGUUAUUUAGCGAAACUAAUGUCAUAUGGAUGAAAUGCUUCCACUACAAGCUUACAAAACAUCCCAAAAUGUCCCAGUGAAUAACCAUAAUGGCCCACGAACUACAAAUACUUGUACCCUAAGAUUUCCCCUUAAAACUACACUAACAACGUCUAAAACAUUAGGAUCCCUUACUUAGUCUUCCAAAGCUUGGUAACUGCCGGAUAAAUCGACCUCAUCUUGCUUCACACAGAUCAUGCCUAGGUUCAAGACCUGUUGUUGCCUAUAACUUUCAUUGAUGGGCGAUCUGUAAGUUAAUUAUAAGUCCUCCAUUUAGGCCCGUGGGAUAAGCUGGCCUUAGAGGGAGAACAUCUUCUUCUCCUAAACUUUUUGUAACCAAAAUUAUUGACCUCCUAUCCUUCAACUAGCAGUGACCAUAAGCCUCAUAACAAACACUUUAUUUCUAAAGAAUCUUAAUUUUCUAGGUGCGCCACCUUAUCUUAUUUCAAUAAGAUCAAUCUAUAAGAAGAAAAAGAAGGGGAAAAUUGAGAGGACUGCUACACCAUCAUCCUAUAUUGUCAUUCGUAAAACCAAAACAUUUUGCAUGUUAAAUGGUUGCUUCCAUCCUUCACAUAUGUGGGGGUGUCUUUUGAUGAGAUUACGCAAAAGUAUGAAGUUAUGAUGAGUUUUUUUUGUUUGACAGGCAUGAAGGAAAAUUAGUGGAAGAAGUUACCAAAACGAUUCUAAGCAAGUUGAGACGUCAAUAUCAGCUUGAUGUUCCGAAGCACCUAGUUGGAGUUGACGAUCAUGUCAACAAAAUUAGGAAUUGGGUAGACAUUCCUACCAGUCAUGCUCGAAUGAUAGGAAUAUAUGGCAUGGGUGGGAUUGGUAAAACGACUCUUGCCAAGGUAAUCUAUAACGAGCUAUCGAGUAUCUUGGUGGAUCAUAGUUUCCUUCCAAAUAUAAGGGAAACAGCUAACAAAAAUGGUAUUCCUUAUCUACAAAAUCUACUAAUUAAGGAAAUACUAUCAAUUGAAAAUGUUGUUUGUAAAGUUGAUGAUGGAAUUAAUUUGAUCAAAUCUAGAUUUAAAGGAAAAAAGGUUCUCAUUCUUUUGGAUGAUAUUGAUCACAAAAAUCAGCUAGAUGCUUUGGCUAGAGAACGUGAUUGGUUUACUGCAGGAAGUAUCAUCAUUGUUACAACUAGAUACAAAUCUGUACUUAAUCAGUCUAAGUUCAAGGUGGACUACAAGUAUGAAUUGAACGAAUUAGAUGAGGUGCAUUCUUUGUGUUUAUUUAAAAGACAUGCAUUUCGCAUGGGCCAUUGUCCGGAGGAUUUUGAGGGUAUCUCUAAUGAAAUCUUAUCUACCAUGGGUGGGCUUCCCCUAGCUAUCAAGGUCAUAGGUUCAUACUUAUAUGGAAAAGUAGAUAAAAAGAUAUGGCAAGAUAUAUUGGAGAAAUUAAGAACCGAACCGGAUAGAGAUGUCCAAAAGACAUUGAAUAUAAGUUAUGAUGCAUUGGAACCUACACAAAAGGAGAUUUUUCUGGAUAUUGCUUGCUUUUUAAUCGGCGAAAACAGCAAAUAUGCCGUGUACAUGUGGGAGGACUGUAAGCUUUUUCCAUAUCUUGGAAUUGAAGAGUUGAAGCUGAGGUGCUUAAUAAAAAUUGGAGCUUGUGGUGAGUUUAGGAUGCAUGACCAAUUGAGAGAUCUUGGAAGGAGCAUCUUUUGCCAAGGACAACCGCCUGAGAGAUGUCUGAAGCCAUUGCUUAAUAUGCAAACGGAGGUAACACAUGGCUCUCUCUCUCUCUCUCUCUCUCUCUCUCUCUCAUAACUCCAUAAAUUUAAUGUGAGUUAAUUUUGCAAUUAAUUUAAGAUUCUUCAACUACGAUUCUACACUGAAAAUCUCAUUCACUAAAAGCAUGUAAUUUUAUAUCUACUUGAAACUAUUGAUAAUCUGAAAGAUUACAAUAAUUUAAUUAAGAUGAAACAUAUGUAUCAUAGAUUAGAUAAAUGAAGAUGUUUUGAAUUUUUGUUUAAGACGGUAAUGUACAACAUAAGCUGAUUAUAAUAACAAUAAUUAACCAAAUCAGCUACGCUAAAGAAAAAUUUCGCACUUAUCAUAGGUGCUUGCUUUCUAGUACGGUCGAAUGUAUUGUGGUGCUCCUAUGAAUUACAAAAUCAAUGUUUGAUACACUUUUAUUUUAUUUUAUUUUUUCAUUCUUCUUGUGUCUUAAUAGCUAUGAUGGCAAAAAUCACCUUAAGAAUCUUAUAUGGAAAAUCCUUACAAUGUUUUUAAGGUCGUAUCACGUUGACCUUGUUCAUCUCAUGGAUUUAGGUGUGUGAUAAAGAGUGGAUUUUCUUAUUUUCCGUUCUUUGCUUCUUUCAUUUCUCGUUGUCUGUUCCUUCGCCUUUCUUAAUAAACAUUUCUUGCCUCUCCAACUUGUUUUAUAUUAUUUAUAUUUUUUGGUACAAUGCCCUUUUACACCAAUGCCUUGUAUUGACCAUUCUGUUUCUAGGCCAUUCACAUGUAACGUCCACAUGCAUCAAUUGUCUCCUGCGUUACUUGCCACAUGCAUCCUAUGACACCUAGUCCUAUACUAUUCUUUCCAAGGGAGAGAUUUCUCUAUUAUUCUCCCGAUCUAAAUUUUCUCAAAAUCAACUAUGUUUAAAAAGGGGGCAAUUGCGAUUAAUGAUGGUGGUUUCCCCUUUUAAGAGCUAAAUGAUGAAAAUAGCCCAUGGAUUCAUUUAAAUAAUAUGAUUCAUAAUGAACUUGGUGUUACCUGCUCAAUCCAAUAUAAGAGGGAAUUGCUCAUCAUUUGAAACAUCAAUCGGUGUUACCUGCUCAAUCCAAUAUAAAUGGUGUGCAUAGCAUGGGUCAUGUCUAGUCUAUAUCUAAUCUAACAUGAUACUAUAAUUAUAGAAAUGAGAUUGGUGUCACUUUAGAUCCCUUCCAAUUUUACUAUUAUUUAAGGAUUCUCCUACUAAUAAAAAGUAUGGCAGAGGAGUGAAGUCUCACUUUGGUAGAGUGCUCCUUCUCUAACCAACACAUCCCCCACCUUGCUUCAUCAACAUGUUGUACCAUCCCCGAUUUUUAUCACCAUUCUCUUCUUAUUUUUAAGAGUUUAAGUUACAAAGUUCACAUAAAAAUAAGCAUAAUGUUAACAUAACAUGUGCGUAGCAUGUGUAUAGAGUAUUGUGGACAUUAAGCAAAGCCCAUUUGCAAAAAUAAUACCAUUUCUAGGUCGAAUUUUGCUUUUUGCGUGUUACAAAUGCAUUUUCUUGAACAGGUCAAGUGAGGGGCACUAUUGGCUUGAAAUUACUAUGCUCUAGAAGUGCAUGUUAACAGAUGAGUACUAAUUUCUAAUUCACCUCUUGAGAAGCAUGCCCAUGCUAAAAACGAACGUCAAUAAUUUACAUCAACAUACCUCUAGAAAACCUAUCUGACAAAAGUGGGUACUAACGGCUACCUAAGUUCCAUAAUGGUGAAAUACUCCAUUAAAUUUCAUUGCAAGUGGGACACCGGCUUAAUUAAGUCUGAUUGGACGGUUCAAACAGGAAAUUAUUUAACUUAAUAGUGCCAGGAAUCAAACUCAUAUCAUGAUACACAAAAGCACAUUCCUUAACCACUAAAUGAGUUGUGUGGGGUUGCCUCUCAAAUAUUUCAGCCAAAUCUUUCAGAAAACUAUCAACUGUUCCUUAUAUUGCUUUUGGUAAAUCCUAAAGAACUUGACCAUAGAAUAAAUUGCAAAGAAAAAAAUAAGUCACUAGACAUGUGUCCUUAGUGCCUAACUGAGCGUGGCCAAGUGCCCGCUGUGAUCCAGAAUCGCAUGCCCAACCAAGCGUGACUAGGUGCCCGCUUUGAUCCAGAAUUGCAUCUCUACGCUGUUCAAGCGACUUGAGUCUUGCUGGAGGCCCAGCCACCGACCAGUAGCUUUAGCUACUUGCGAUCUCUGUUAUGGGCAUCUCAGUCUGUUCCUCUGAACAUUUACGCGAUGUCAAUGUGUAGAUUGGGUGGCGGCUUGAUUUAUUUGUGGUCAAUCUCAAGAUGCUAAUCCAAUAGAAAGUUUAAGAUUUAAAAUUUUGAUACUGGAACGUUAUCCAAUACUGUCACUGAUCAGCUAAGCUUUCGGGGGAAAAAUAAUAAAGUAUUGUUGUUAAUGUCAAUCAAGCCGUCUGGGAUUUUGUCACCAUCUUCUUCCAAUUAUAUGAUCUCCUUUAGCAACAAAGUUUAAGCGGUACUUUUGACUUAUAAUAUGCGAAAAGAAAUGGUGCUAGUCUUGGGAAAUGGACAUACGUAUCUUCACUUUUCUGUUUAGGUAACAUAAGUAGAUUUCUCCAGAAAUUUUCAUGUGGCAGAGUUUGCCAAAAGAUGUUGCCCUGCAUCGACAAACCUAUUGUUCCAUAUGUUAAGACCUUAAUCUAACUAUAACACCAUGUAAGGAAGUUAAUUAGUUCAUUUUUGGUUGGUCUAAAGCCAGCUCUCUUCCAAUUUCCGUCAAAAUCUAAAAUAUUAUUCAAAUGCUAAAGGUGUAUGGCUAAAGAAUGAUUAAACACUCAAUAACAAUAGUUAACAAAUUGAAAAUCAGGUCUUACUUAGCUUCUUAACAAGUGACCCAUGGGUACUCUUUAACAUUCGUAUGUUUUAAAAGGUUUCAUGUAUUUCCACUAUAAUAAAAAUCAAAGUACAUGCACUACAAAAUUCCAAAAAAGCGAGAGGUAAGAAUUGAGGUGUUUCAUCUUGAAUUUUUUAAAGCAAGAAAAAGUGUUAUUUUUAUUUAAAAUAUUGUUUGAAUUUAAAAAAAAAAUUAUUGAAAUUCUAUAUGUGUGUUUAUCUGUCAACAUUUAUGUUUGGUGAGGGGUAAAGAGAUGACAAAUUGUGAAAAGUAUGGGGUUUAGAGAAGCAAAAGUAAAAUAUUAGAAGUUGAUUUCAGACACUGAAUUGAUUGAUUUGAUAUGCAGCAUUUCGAGAGUAGCUUCGGUUCUUGGCCUCGUGGCUGUUCCUCUACAUGCACAAGCGAACUGUUUAAAAACUUACCGAGCUCAAGGUUCCUUUCAUUUUGCUGGACGACCAUAAGUGGAGACUUCAAUGAAUUGUUUCUUGAAUUAAGAUGGCUUCGAUGGUUAUACAUUGAACCCAAUAUAUUUUCUUUGGCAAUCAAUUUGCAUCUAUCUAAAUUAGUGGUGCUGGAAUUGUCACGAAACAAGCUUACAGAUGAUUGGGGAGGAUGGAGUUCAAUCAUGGUAAGAUGGAAAAAAAAGACAUCUUCUAUGAUCUUUGCUUUGUUUUGUUUUAUCAAUGAAACUCCUUUUUGACAGCUUUUUCUCUUUUGUAUAGGCGGCAAAGCAACUGAAAGUUCUCAACCUUUCAGAUAGCCAGGAGUUAAGAUGUACUCCUAAUCUCUCGGCUUUCACGAAGUUGGAGAUUCUCAUCUUGUCUAGUUGUCACAAACUGAAGCAAGUCGACCCUUCUAUAGGCAAACUCAAGAGCCUCAUUUCCUUGGACUUGUGUAGAUGUUAUAAUCUGAAAGAGCUACCAGAGGAAGUGGGGGAAUUGCAAGAACUAAAAGAACUCCUUUUAAGUUGUAUUGGCGUUACAAAGAUUCCUAUGUCAGUCUAUUCUCUGAGGAAGCUAGAGCAUCUGGCUAUGAGAUCUUGUCAUUCAUUGGUUGAAAUCCCUCUCGCAAUUGGGAAUCUUUUGUCUCUCCAAUAUCUUGACCUCAAUUUCUGUACAUCAAUGAGGAAAAUCCCUCAUUCGAUUGAGAAUCUUUCUUCUUUCAAACGACUUGAACUAGAUGGUUGCACGUCAUUGACAAAUAUCCCUAGCUCAAUUGGGAAUCUUUCUUCUCUCGAAAAACUUGAUCUAGGGAGUUGCAAGAUAUUGAUAGAAAUCCCUAGCUCAAUUGGAAAUCUUUCUUCUCUCAAACAACUUCAGCUAGGGUUUUGCUCGUCAUUGACAAAAAUCCCUAGCUCAAUUGGGAAUCUUUCUUCUCUCGAACAACUUGAUCUACAGAGUUGCGAGUCAUUGACAGAAAUCCCUAGCUCAAUUGGGAAUCUUUCUUCUCUCAAACAACUUAAUCUACAGAGUUGCGAGUCAUUAACAGAAAUCCCUAACUCAAUUGGGAAUCUUUUUUCUCUCGAACAACUUGAUCUAGGGAGUUGUAAGAUAUUGAUAAAAAUCCCUAGCUCAAUUGGGGAUCUUUCUUCUCUCAAACAACUUCAGCUAAAGUUUUGCUCGUCAUUGACAGAAAUCCCUAGUUCAAUUGAGAAUCUUUCUUCUCUCGAACAACUUGAUCUAUGGAGUUGCAAGUCAUUGACAGAAAUCCCUAGCUCAAUUGGGAAUCUUUCUUCUCUCAAACAACUUCAUCUACAGAGUUGCGAGUUAUUGAUAGAAAUCCCUAGCUCAAUUGGGAAUCUUUCUUCUCUCAAACAACUUCAUCUACGGAGUUGCGAGUCAUUGAAAGAAAUCCCUAGCUCAAUUGGGAAUCUUUCUUCUCUCGAACAACUUCAUCUACAGAGUUGCAAGUCAUUGAUAGAAAUCCCUAGCUCAAUUGGGAAUCUUUUUUCUCUUGAACAAAUUGAUCUACGGAGUUGCGAGUCAUUAAUAGAAAUCCCUAACUCAAUUGGGAAUCUUUCUUCUCUCAAACAACUUGAUCUAUGGAGUUGCAAGUCAUUGACAGAAAUUCCUAACUCAAUUGGGAAUCUUUAUUCUCUCGAACAACUUGAUCUAGGGUUUUGCGUGUCCUUGACAAAAAUCCCUAGCUUAAUUGGGAAUCUUUCUUCUCUCAAAAAACUUGUUCUAGGGGGUUGCGUGUCAUUGACAGAAAUCCCUAACUCAAUUGGAAAUCUUUCUUCUCUCGAACAACUUGAUCUAUGGGAUUGCAAGUUAUUAACAAAAUCCCUUGCUCAAUUGGGAAUCUUCUUCUCUUGAACACUUGAAUUAUGGGAUUGCAAGUUAUUGACAGAAUCCCUAGCUCAAUGGGAAUCUUCUCUCUCGACACAACUUGAUCUACGAAGGUGCAAGUCAUUGACAGAAAUCCCUAGCUCAAUUGGGAAUCUUUCUUCUCUCGAACGACUUAAUCUAGGAUUUUGCGAGUCAUUGACAGAAAUCCCUAACACAUUGAGAUCUUUCUUCUCUCAAUGCCUUAACCUUUAUGGGUGUUGUUCACUAAAAGAAAUUCCUACCUCAAUUAAGGAUUUAUCGAAUUUGCAAAGCAUUGGGGAUUUUUGACCUUGAAUAGUUACCCAUUGCUAUUGGAUGGUUGAACAAACCGUUCAAGGGUAUUUCUUGAAUCUUGUGAUGGUCUAAAAGGGGGAAUUCCAAGAGAAAUCGAUGACUUGUCUUCGCCGUGAUUCUCCAGAUCACUGGCACAUUGAUAUUUGACCCACCAUAUAGCAUCUGGAAUCUUUCUUCUCUCUAAUGCCUUGACCAAGAGGGCUGUAAGGAGCUCGAUCGUUGCUAGAGCUUUCUUCCGACUUAACAUAUCUUCAGGUCAAUUCCCUGAUUCCAAGGUUGCCAGAGCUUUCUUACCUAUUCCACCUGGAAGAACUUCAUUUUUAUGGAUACGAUCAACUUGAGUACUUCCCUGAGCUUACCUCAAGACUCUUGAAACUUUUUGUUGCCUCCUAUACUAAGUUGAUAUUGCCUGAGCUUGACGGAUUCAAGUACUUAAAAGAGUUGUCAAUAAAACACUACAAUUCCAUUGAAAGAAUGGACCUCUCACAAUCGAAUCUUCUGGAGGGAUUGGACAUUGAGGAUUGUGAUAAUCUAGUUGAAAUUUAGGGCCAAGGUAAAUUGGAGUUCUUGGAGAUAAUACGUACAUAUAGCUGCAAGUCCAUUAGAAGGCCGAUCCAUCCGAAAUUACGAGGGCUUGAAGCGAUUAAAUACUUGCUAUUGCAACAUUCUAGUCAAAAUACAAGAUCAUGAUAAGAUGGAGUUGUUAGAGAUGUUCAAUGUCUGUAAUCGUGGUUCCAUCGAAAGAUUACCUAACCUAUGAUGCUUUUGGAACUUGAAAGAGUUGAAUAUCAAUGGUUGUCAUAAUCUACAUGGUGUUGAGACUCAAUUCCCAAUCUUACAUAAUUGCAAGAGUGGGGAAGUCUGUCCUAGAAGCUAACAUGAUGAUUCAGCCAAGAUCAAAAUAUAGAUCCGAUUGUGGUUCUUCAUAUGUUAGAAGGCAUUGGUCAUCUGGUAAGAUUCUUCGUCCUUUAACAACUAGCAAGAACGAAAAGUGUAAUACUUUUCUAACAGAUAUAUCUUUUAAGAACCAUUUUCUUGACAUUUGGUAUCUAUUUGAUCUGGAUUUGCUUAAAUAUAUUUGUUGUUGAUUGUAUCACGGCAAUAUUUUUUCAGCUAUCAAUCAGCAACUUUUGCAGAUAGAUUGGUGGCUUGUGAGGCAACAAAUGAAAAUUAACGACAUAGGUAAACAAUAAUUACUUAGUGAUUUAUAGUUUCCCUCUUGUUAAACCCAAGAUGAGAAUUUUUCAUCAAGAGGUUGAUCUUUUGCAACUCAAUUUAUAAACUGCGUGCCAAAUCCAUUUUUUCUCUCUGUCUCAAGCUAGUAUUUUCUUUUAAAAAAUCAUUCGCCAUUUUGAACUCCUUUUGUGAGCAAUUUUAUGUGUUAGAUUUGACUAUUGGUAGAUAUCCUGUUUAGGACAAACAACUCUCGAUUUUUUUAGAUGAUGGGAAAGCCUGUCCAUUUUUCAUUCGAGCAUGAAUUCCUAGUAAGGAAGAGAAACUGAGCUAAAAUGAAAAUCAAGGUUCAAUUUUUUUCUGGUGCGUGAUUUAAGAAAGUAAAAAUUAGUUUUGGCUAGCCUUUUUCAUCUAUGAUUGUAGGCAGGCUUUCCAUAAACAAUUGUGAGACUGUUGAAAGAUUAUCAAGUGAGAUAAAUUGGUGCUACUUUUGUGACAGGUCCGGUUGGUCUAUGUAAUGAUCAAGGCUUACUUUUGGACUUCAAUUCAAAGAGAUGUAUAGAUGACCUUUUGCAUAAUUGGGACAAUUUUUUGCCUGCUCUGUAAAACAAGCUAGGUGAGGAGCUUAAGAUUUUGCUUAUUAUUCUACAUCCCGUUUGAUCCUGAUGUUGUCGUGGAAUCAUUUUAUCAAAUGAUUGAUCUGGGUCUGGCUAACUCAGCUGAGGCAAUUCAUGGUCCAUACCAGAGAACGAUCAAAUGAAGAAGAGGGAUUUUGCUGAGGUGUCAUCAGCAACAGCUAAAGGCUAGCUUUUGUGCGACCUUGAACAGGCUCACGGGCCAACUGGAGUGUCCUAAGGAAGUUUUUUAUGCCUGUGAAGAUCAAAGCACUUGAUAUGGUUUCAUCAGCACAAAACUGAAUGAUUGUGAAUUUAUUAUUUUCCAGUUGAAUCUACUUUUUGUAUGCUCAUUAGGUUCUACCUCUAUUAAGAAAAUACAUACGUGCUGAUUUUUCUACACGUUAACUAGAUGCAGAGUUCUUUGAUGCAAUGCGCUCUAAUGUUAUCAUUCCCAAACUCAGUCAGGCUCUGCAGAUAGAGGUAUGCACUGCCAGUCCUACCAUAACUGUGAAAGAGUGACUUGUGUACUUAUAUAUAAUUGAAUGUGUUGUAUGCUUGUUAGGCUCUACCUCUCUGUUAAUCGAAUAUCUACGUGCUGAUUUUUCUGCAUGUUUCCCUGAUGCGGAAUUGUUUGAUGCGGUCUCAUUCUAAUGAUAUCACUUUCAAAACCAAUGAGGCUCUGCAUAUGGAGGUAUGUACUACCAGUUGUACCAUAAUAGAGCAACUUGUGUGCUUAAACUAUUUGAGCUGUGGAAUUUCACUAGAAAUCCGUGAACUAGGAUGCAUGAUGACAUUCUCCUCUUUUUUUGUCAGUCCAUAAUAUCUUUUGAAUGUUGUGAUAAAGGUCUCUGAUACGACGAGCUUAAAUCUCAUGUAUGCAGCAUUAAAUUUGUAAAGUUAAAUAUAGCCUCCUUGCAAACAAUUCCGUAUUGCUAAUUUCACUAAUGUUGUCCUGCGAUGCUUCAUAUGAAGUUUUUUCCCGUUUAUUGAAUGAGUAUAUGUGGGAAUUGGUUUGGUCCUCAAUUCAGCUCUCAGAUACAUAAUUUCGCUUGGAUUAAAAUGUUGUCUUGCGAUGCUUCAUAUGGAGUUUUUUCAGUCCACAACACGAACGCCCAUCAGACCAACAUGGUUUCAUUCAAUCCCUUCGAAAGCAAAGUCGUGUUCUUUUCUCUUUUGUGCCCCUUGGAAGAGAAAGACAACGAAGGUCAACGUCCUUAUAAUAUCUCAUGUAUGCAUGUGUUACACAAGAUGGUUGGAUAUUGCGAAAUAACCAAGUAACAAGUACGCCUUUCUGUUCUGUAGUUUGGGCACUUUGCCUUUUCAACAUCCGUUCUGUUCAUAAACACAAACAAGGAUGAUGGUGCUAAUUGUUGACUUCUCUUCUCUUAAGUCCGUUGUUUUCUAUUUCUUUGGCUGAUAAUGAAUUCUGUUGAUUGCGAUCCAACUGCGAAUUAAUCAAAGACCUCUGGAAUGUAUGGCAAAACUUAUGUCCCUAGAUUUUGGUGUGGAUAGAUGAGAUUCAUUGAAGAGGUCACUUGUAGAUCGCCAGAAUCUAGACCAGGUCAAAAUAACCUUGUUUAUAUUGAUGGAUUCUUGAGUCUAUGCUUACUACUUUCAGCUAAUUUUAGGUUCUUCAUUCCAAAUACAUCUAAAAAUAGACAGAACUAAGGAUCCAUGCAGCUGCACCUUUAUCUCUCUUCGAGAUGAUUGGAGAGUGUGACAUCUUUUUACUCUCAACCAUCUUGUGUAACACAUGCAUCGCCCUCAUUUGCAGACCAUCUUUAGCAAUUGCCCGGGUGGAGACUAGUUAUAAGCCUUGUAAGGUUGAAUUUGUUAGUGUUUGUAACUUUUGAUGAAAUAUCAUAAACAACCUGAAUUUAUCAUACAUUCUUUUCCUGAAUCUAUCACGAAGUACAUAUGUAGCUAGUAGAAUUAUAAUUAUUUUCAAAAUCUCAUGUGACAAUAGCUGAUUGGAAAAGCCAAGGAGUGUGAGACACCCAAAUACAGGGUUUACAUUUGAUGAUGCGGUUCAAACUAUAAGAGACACCUUCAGGUCGUCCAAAACUUCUUAACGACUUGCCUCGAAGGACACAACCAAGAGAAGGGAACAAAAUCUCACCAAGGAAUGAAGAAGGAGAAGGAGAAGGGGAAGAAUGAGAAGAUGAUUGCCUCAACUGAGUUGACAACAAAAUUGCAGCUACCACUGCUACCGGGACCUUCUCAUGUGGACUCCGGUGCCACCUCCUCUUUGGUAUACUG
rnacentral:lncRNA from 1 species